GAUGUGUAUCAUAUUUAUGUGAUGCUAACAAUGUGACAUUGAUCUCCAGGUAAGCUUUAUCUGCCGUCAGAUUAGUUGAGGCCUUGCGGGUGGCAUGUAAGACUGGUUUAUGAAUAAGAGUUGUCGCACCUCUCUCCGGAGGUGAGGUGUGAUUGUCCAGCAGUUUUGCUGCUACUUUCGCAUUGGCUUGUACCAGUAAUACUAGGUUCGAGGGUCUGAACUUUGUUGUAUUGAAUGUUACACCCAUGUAAUAGUUUUCUUUGCACCUGUUAUCUUUGAUGUCAAGUUAAGUGUACUUCCUGUUCAAAAAAAAUAAAAAGUGUACUCAAGCACUGGCUUAUGUUUAUUGAUUGCAGUGGUGGAUUGUAUUCAGUUACUUUUGGUGUUCCUAUUCAUCAGUGAGAAAAGGAAAAUCCACUUGCUUUUGUCUUUCGAUCACACUCGUAUUGAGGAAGGGGAUUGUUCAUUGGAUAUUGUAUAAGAUUACUACUCCCUCCGUUCGGAAUUACUUGUCGCGAAAAUUGAUGUAUCUAGACGUAUUUUAGUUUUAGAUACAUCUAUUUUCAAGAUAAGUAAUUCGGAACGGAGGGAGUACUCUGUAAAUAUGCAUAUAGCCUUGUUUUGGGAGAGUUUAUUUCUCCUCUGAUUGUAAACCGCUUGUCUAUAUUUGAGUAUAAUCAAACACAAUAAGCUACACUAGUGUCAAAAAACAUCUUAAAUUAUGGGACGGAGGGAGUACGCAUCAAGGCUGAACGCUCUGUGCUAGCAACGUCGGCGCCACGUCGGCGCUGGACCUACGUGCUCGCAAUCUAGGCUAAAUUUGCGAUGGAUCCUUUCCUUCCCUGCGAAGGUAAAAGCGGCUCCGGAUUUGACCUCUCUCGUUUCCUCAAAACCCUCUCCUUCCGCCUCCGCCGCCACACCCCUCUGGUUUGAAGUUCACACAUGCGACCUCUCUCCCAUGUAACUGGCCGGCAUGAGUGUCACCAGCGGGAGAGCAUGCAGCCACACCAACGUCGUUGCCUCGAGGGAGGAGUGGGUGGGAGAAGGCGGCGGCGGCGGCGGUUUCGGUCUGUGAUCUGCUUCGACGCGGGAGGCGGCGGACCGAUCCAGCGGAAGUGGCUGUUGGGAGGAUGGGAGGAAGAAGCCAACUGAGGGCCAGCAGGUCUGGAUCCGUGUGGCGUCUCCCCCGUCAGGUCUUCAAUGCCCGCCCCCUCCUUUUUCCAUCUCCUCCCUCUUGAUUCUUGGGUGUUAUUUCGUCAAAUCGGGGUGAUUUUAGCUUCCCCCAAAGCAACACGCUCAUCACCUAUGCCCAUCCUCCUUGUCUCAUUAUCGUCUCCAUCAGGCAGGUGAGAUAUCAUGCUUCCUCUCUGGGUCUCUAAUUUCAUGCUGCUAUUCUACUGUGUGUUGUAUGCCAAAACUUAUUGGAGAGUUGAGUGGCUUUCAGUGGUCUGCACCACACCGGGUGUGGUGGCCGGUGGAGUUGACUUAUUAGCUCGCAUGCACUUGCUUAAUUAAUUUUGCAUGGCGGUGAUGAUUUCCGCUGGUUUUCCAUAUGACUAGGUGAUUGUCCGAUGGGUUAUGCGUCCAUGCGCGUAAAUAAUCAGGUUUGUGUCAAGGACACAUGAUUUUCUCUACUCCCGCAUGUCCUCUGCUGUAUUUUCUACCAAGGACGAAAGCUAGAGGUGGAUGCAAAUUUCUUGCUCAUGGGUUGUUAAUGAGGUAACCUUCAUGGUGAAUUUGUUAAUUCAUUUUAUGAAUUAAUAAGUAAAACAUCUUUUCUAUUCGAAUUGAAUCUAUUCAAGGAGCCUCUCAGGCAACAACAACAUCUGCUUCUUGUUUCGGUUAUAAAGCUUGGGCUGUCUAAAGCUGAAAAAUUCAGUGAUGUGUUAUAUGUACAGUAUGAGUUUCACUAUUAUACUUGAAAAUGUUGAUGUGUUGUUCUUUCCCCUCUCGCACCUAUAGUUAUGGGUUCACCAAUUAUACUAUACUUAUUCCAUUAUCUUCAGUAUCAAGCUGGUAUCUCUUGAUGUGUGCAAUGGUCGAACAAAUACUUUAUGAUAUGAUUUUUUUCCUAUCAAGUUGAUACUAGAUUUGUUUGUUGGUUUGUGCUGUUCAUUAGUUCUUCCUUCGCUUGAUGUUCAGCGCGUUGGUGCUGCAUGGAAGCAUUGGAAGCGAAAAAAUAUUCACAUACCUAAAUGUAAGUGCAUCUCCCCGUCUUAAUUUAGGUUGACCUUGCAGUCUCGCUUACCUGUUCUGCUUCGCCCAUCGUUCAAUGUAGUUUAUGUUGAAUAGCUAGGUUGGUCCAUGAGAUCAGAAAUUGUACUGCCGUUUAUUUAACCCAGCUGCUACAUUGUAUAUUGAGUACAAGUGCGUCGUUUAUCAGUCUGCACUUCUGGACCAAAACCAGUUUUGCAUGGUCAUUUCUUUAAAGAAAGGUUCAGAGCUUCUCCAGAAGGAAAGGAAAAAUACCACCUGAACUUUUAGCUUUCCACAUAUGUGUGAUCACUUGCUGAGUUUUCCACGUCAUAAGCUUUUCUUAUGAAUUUAUGGGAUUUUAGAUUUUAAUCGGGUCUCGCAGUUCUGAGUUUUAAUUCAUGUGCAACAGUCACAAACAGAUCUGUCUUGCAUUCUAAAUAUUGCAGCCUUGAACUUAUUUACAUUUCAGUUAACUUUUGUUCACAAGUGACUGCCACUGUUCUGAAUCUGCAAAUUGUAGUUGAAUUCUUUAAUACAUCUAUGCCAUCUAUAGAAAAGCAUGUCCUCACGUGGCACUGUGCAAGACCACAACGAUGAACAUCACUUGGCGAACAAGUCUCGAAUCAAUUUCGAUUUGCGAUGGUCUGCUCAGAGGGCGUUCUGGCGAUGCGUGGUUCCGUCCUAUUUUAGUAGGGAUGUAUCUCUUCUACAAUCUUUUGGUACUUUUGUAGAUUAGGAUGUUUAUUUUUUUUUAUCGAAAAAGGCUUUCGCCCCGCUUUAUAAAUAAAGCAACCACCAGGCACAAAUUAUUAAGGUAACAACUGAACACACCAACACAACGCCACCGCAGACAAGGUCCAACACUCACACACACAAACAUAUAGGCCCAAGUUCAGCUGUGGGCACAACAUAACAAGCCCAACACAUGAGCAUGACAAUACAACACAUAGACGGCGGUGGCGGUGCCGAGAUGACGACGAUCUAAUCUGGUUUCGGUGGUGGCGGGGGAAGCGGUGGAGCCAACCAGAGAGCCAUCGCACGAAGCUGGGUGAUGAUGGUGGUGAUGACGUCUCUCUCCCUGGGACGGCUAAGCGGCGGCCAAAGCUGCAAGUAGCCAGACCAUUUGAACAAAGCGUCAGUAGCACGACGAAGAGGAAUACGCUGAAUCACAAGUUUAUUCCUAACAGUCCACAGCGUCCAGGCAAGCACCCCAAUGGUCAGCGACCUAAUGUGGCGCACCGAGGGUGGGGUCGCCUGGAGUUCGGCGAAGAGAGCGGGAAAGUUGUUGUGGUCCCAGCUUCCACCCACUAUCUCGCGGAAACAGCUCCAUAGGAACUGCGCGGACACGCAUGUGAAGAAGAUAUGGUUCGAGUCUUCUUCAGGCCCACAAAGCGGUCAACACCCAUCACCGGGGCCAUUGCGCUUCAGGACCUCCACACCGGAUGGGAGACGACCUAGAAUCCAUUGCCACAAGAAAAUCCUAAUUUUCAGAGGGAGGCAGAUCUCCCAGAUGGAGGUGAGCGCCUCAUGGCCAAGCGAGGGGGCGAUGGCCUGGUAGAGAGAUUUAGUGGAGAAUUGCCCAGAAGGCUUUAGACGCCAUCUGGAACGGUCAUCUUCAGUCGUGAGAUCAGGCUCGUGUAGUGCAAUGCAGUCAAGCAGCUCCUGCCAGUCCGCGUUCUCAGCCGGGCCAAAAGGUCUCCAGAACGCGAGUUGCCCUAAGUCAAUAAGGGCUGUCGCGACAGAAAUCCGUAGGGCACUCGCGAUUGAGAACAAGUCAGGAAAGCGGGCCACGAGGGGCAUGUCUCCAGUCCAUUUAUCGAACCAGCAGAGUGUGGCGGUGCCGGACCCCACCUCGACCGAGGUCCCAAACCGGAGGACUGGGAGGAGCUUGAUGAUGGAUUGCCAGAACUGGGAGCCCCCAGACCGCUGGCAGAAGGCGAGAGGCUAGCCGCGGAGGUGUUUCUGCUGAAUGAUGCGAAGCCACAGGCCACCAUCUCCGUUGGCAAUUCGCUAGAGCCACUGAGUCAGGAGGGCCAUGUUCAUGCAUUUGGAGGACAUGAUCCCGAGUCCGCCCUGGUCGCGAGGUUUGCAGAUCUCUGACCACCGAACCAUGUGGUACUUCUGCUUAUCUCCCUAGCCGGCCCAGAAGAAACGCCCCUGAACAGUGGCAAUCUCGUGAUGAAGAGUCUCCGGAAGGCUAUAGAAGCUCAUGAUGAAUAAGAGUAGGCUGGAGAGGGAAGAGUUAAUGAGCACCGUACGGGCCGCUUUCGAGAGCCACCGACCCUGCCAGGGCUCGAUACGGUGCUGAAGCUUUCCCACCGAGGGGCGUAGCUCGACCACUGUGAGCCUGGAGUCACUAAUGGGUAUCCCUAGAUAAGUUGUGGGGAAGCACCCGAGCUGGCAGUUAAGCCGAUUCGCAAUGUUGUGUCGCUCGUCUUGGGAGUAGCCCAAUACCAUCACCUCACUCUUGUCGAAGUUGAUCCUGAGGCCAGACAUCUGCUGGAAGCACAUCAGAAGGAACUUGAGGUUCGUGAUAUCGCUCGUCGAGAUUUCCACCAUAAUAAUGGUAUGAUCCGCAUAUUGGAGAAGGGAGAUCCCGUCCCCCCCACACACACAAGAUGCGGGACUAUGCCCUUAAUAUGACCCGCAGCCUUGGCUUUAUCUAGGAUGGCCGCCAGAGCAUCGACAAUCAUGUUAAACAAGAAAGAUGAGAAGGGAUCGCCCUGGCGCACCCCACUGAAUGUGGGGAAGAAUGGGCUGAUCUCUCCAUUAAUGUUCACCGUGGUUCGGCCCGAGGAUACUAUCUACAUCACCCUGGUCACCCACCUGUCGUCGAAGCCCUUACGGAGCAAACAUUUCCGAAGGAAGGACCAAAUGACCGUGUCAUAAGCCUUGUGGAAGUCCAGUUUCAGGAAGACUGCCUUGAGGUGUUUGGUGUGAACCUCAUGGAGUGCUUCGUGGAACACCAGGACUCCGUCGAGGAUAUAACGGCCCUGGAUGAAGGCCGACUGAUCAGGGUGAGUGAUCCGAUCGGUGAUAGGGGCCAUCCUAAUGGCGUACCCCUUCACGAGGAUGCGGAAGAUGAUGUUAAUCACCGUAAUCGGCCGGAAUUGGCGGAUAUCCGAGGCCCCAAUCACUUUGGGGAUGAGGGUGAUUACCCCAAAGUUCAGCCGGGCGAGGUCGAUGGACCCAACAAAGAUCUCGUCAAAUAAGGCCAUCACCUCAGGUUUGAUCACCUCCUAGAAAGUCUGGGAGAACUUCACUGGGAGGCCAUCCGGGCCAGGGGCCGAGGAUGGGUUCAUGCCUUAAUUGCCGCCCAAUUCAGCCCCAGAGAACGGAGCCAUAAGGGCCGCGUUAUCCGCAGGCGAGACGCAACUGUGGGCAGGACAAAUGUCUUGCGCAAGGGCAAGACCUCCCUGAGGGGAGGCAGAGAAAAGGUCUCUGUAAAAGCCGUCUACAUGGGCCCAGAUGUCCUCCGGCCGCUGCAGGAGGGUCACGCCUUCCAAAGGAGGGGGGUGGAGUUACGGCGUCGCGGCCGUUAGCUAUGCCUGGAAGUAGGCGGUAUUGGCAUCCCCCUUGAGGACCCAAUUCUACGUACCCCGCAAACGCUAGUAUGCCUCCUCGUCGGUGUAGAUGACCGUGAGCUGGUCUUCCAGGUCGUACCUAAGCAUCCAUUCAUCGGCCGAGAGGCCUGUGGCAUCAGCAUGUAGGUCGAGGGCUUGGAUGCCCUCAAGGAGGGCUUUCUUCCACUCACGGAUGCCCCGGCCUACGUUUGCACCCCAUCCUUUCAUGAAUUGCCGUGACCGCUUGGCGCAGAAGUGCCAGUUAUCGACGGCCCAGAGGGACCGAUGGGGGGCAUCACGCGUCUUGCGCCACUAGGCGACCACCGCAGCGGUAAAUCCAUGAUGCCAUAACCAGAAGGUUUUGAAAUGGAAACAGGGCGGCAGGGGGGGCGCUCAUUCUUAGAAGAGAGGAGGGGUACGUGAUCUGAACCAAUCUGCAUAAUUGCCCGAAGCAAGGCUAGGGGGCAGCGUAUGUCCCACUAAGGGGAGGCGAAGACCCUAUCGAGGACUGAGCGAGUCGGCUCAACUUGUCGGUUUGUCCAAGUGAACCUGGCCCCGACUCGAUCGAGCUUGCGAAGCCCUAUGUCAGUGAUGCAGCCAUUGAACAUCUGCAUCUGAGAAAAGUUCACUAAAUUAGUGCUCUUGUCUUCUUCCGUCCGGAUGGGGUUGAAAUCGCCACCUACCACGACCAGUAGCUGGUUGGCUACCACCUUCCUCCGAAGUUCAGUGAGGAAGGCCUCAAAACGGCGGUGGUCGGCCGGGCCAUACACCGCAAUGAUUUCCCAUUUGAAGUUUAGGGCCCACUUGAAAAUCUCCAUGCUAACGAAGAACUCGCCCCGGUCCAUGCUUCCCACCUCAAAGGUGGCAUCCUUCACUCCUAAUAGGAUGCCACCCGAGUGGCCCGUACUACCACUAGAAGGGAGCCAAUGCCAAGCAAAUUGGUCGGAGCUCAAAUGCUCGAGCUCCGACAGGGAAAAUUCCGUACGCAUCGUUUCUUGAACGGCCACAGUGUCGAUUUGUUCGGUCUGCAUGUACUCUAUCAGUUGGCGGCGUCGGCCAUUUUGGCCGAAACCGCGGAUGUUCCAGAAGAGGGUCCGCAUCACACAUCCAUCGAGGGGCUGCUUGACCCCAAGACGCGUGAAGCGCUCUGGGCGCUCUGGGCGGUGGUGCGGGAGCGGGUGUGGCCUCGUAUCUCAAUCGGAGAGUCCGUGGUGCAUGGCGGGACACUCAGGGUAGCUCCGGUAGGAGCGCCCGAGGAGGACGGGAGGCGUGCACGGGCCUCGGCAAGGUGCCCAUCGAGGAUUUCCCGUGCAUGGAUAGCCUCGAUCUGAACUAGCAGGGGCAACCUCUCCCCGAAACACUAUGGCCGAGUCCACCGCCACCUUAGCGGGGUGGCCAAGCGGAGCCGACUCCAAAGCAGAAAAGGAACAUGUAGCAGAGGUGGCCGAGAUGGACGGGGUACCUGGCUCGAGGUUUCGGGCAGCGGCCCGGAGCGCAGCCCGCUCGAGGAUAGGCAGAGCAGGGCUACCCGCCGAUCUGGCCGCCUCGAUCCGAGCACUGUGGUGCGAGGAAGACACCGGGGUCGAGGUCGAUCUGUCCCUCCUGGAGUAGGCCGCAGACCGAGGGGGAGGCGGGGAGGAGGGGGCGGCCACCAGGGUGGUCACCACCACCAACUUCCCAUCGGCGGGGGAGCACGGAGGCGCCAGAGACGGAGCGGGGAGCGCUGAGCAGGGAGCACCAGAGGGGGCCAGCGGAGCCGAAGUCACAACGGCCUCUGGAGGCGGGACGACCGACUCUAGGACCGGGUUGAACGCCUCCACGGGGUGCGCAGGGGGGACGGGGCCGGGGUUGACCCCAUCGCCCCUAGCGGCUCCUCCAGGAGUGCAGCAGCCGGCGGUGAAGAUGGCACGAGCGGGACCAGGUCGUCCUGGGUGGGGAUGGAGGCGAAGAUGCCAAGGGUGGUACCGUCGGGGGAGCGAGGCGAAGACACCGGGAAGACCUGCAGGCUUGCAUCCGUCAUCGGGCGACAGGGGAGCCAUAGCGUGGACACAGCCGGCCCCAGCACCGCCCCUGGCAGCCGGCACGGGAGGCUGAUCGUGGGGUGAACUGUCCUCGGAGUCAUCGUCGUCCUCCUCCGAGUCGGAGUGGUGGCCUUGGCGGGGAUCCCGGUCACCGUGGUGGCCCCCCGCACCACCCCCAUCCGGAGCUCCCCCCCAAGAAGCUGUCGUCAGGGAUGCGGGGGCGGCCAAUGAUAGUUUAAUACUCCCCCCGUCCCAAAAUAAGUGUGUCAACCUUAGUACAACUUUGCUAGUACAAAGUUGAGACACUUAUUUUUGGACGGAGGAGGUAGUAGUCAAGAUAUGGGAUCUGCAUGUCCAUUUUUUUACUGCAUAUAUCUGUUUUUACUCUUAAUUACGUGUCUCGGAGUAUUAUGCCCAUGCAAGAAGCAAAAGCCAUAGCCUCUCCAACAAGGUUUUCAAUAUUAAGGGGGGAAAUUGAAGGUGUAUAAGGUAAAUAUGCAGAGCUCUAGGUAUAUUCAGUAAUCCAUUUUCUUUAUACCUUUCAUUAUAAUUAAAAAUGAGGAAAUACGAAUGAGGUGCCUCCUGUCAAUUGCAAUCACAGAUCUAAGAAUCCCCCUUUAAAUGUAAUUGAUAAAAUGAUCAAAGAGUAAUUGUCCCCCCCCCAACUACGUAGAGAAAGUGUGAGAACCACACAACUAUAGGACUAACCCUGAAUGAUUGCUUAUCAGUUUCAGGUACUACAAUUAUUGUGUAGAUUCAAGUAGUGUGAUAUAGUAGUUACCAUGUCAUAUAUCUACACAAGAGAAGUUUGUGUGAAGCACCAGUAUAGGAUAGCUUUUGAAAAAUUUGGGAAGCCCUGAAGGACAUGGUUAGAAGUGGCUGCAUAGAUGGUAUGCACAACAUUGCUUUGCAAACCUUUAGGUGCUAGAUUGAAUCACUAGGAAGAAGACCAACUGUGGCAUGACACUAGUAGAAAAGGGGGCAAUGGUCCAGGCCAGGUCAGCCCAUUAGUCCCGGUUCAAUCCAGAACCGGGACCCAUGGGGGCAUUGGACCCGGUUCGUGAACCCCGGGGGCCGGCCGGGCCACGUGGGCCAUUGGUCCCGGUUCGUCUAGACCUUUUGGUCCCGGUUGGUGGGACGAACCGGGACCAAUGUGCCUCGCUCCUGGCCCACCAUCAUUGGUCCCGGUUGGUGGCCUGAACCGGGACCAAAGGCUGCCCUUUAGUCCCGGUUCGUGCCACGAACCGGGACCAAUUAAUUGCCUAUAUAUACCCCUCGCCCGCGAGCAGAGCACUCCCACUGCUCUGUUUUUCCUAGCCGGCGAGGAGAGAGCUUUGUGGUGCUCUAUCUCACCUCCUAUGCACACGAGGUGUUCGAUGGAAUGCCUGAGCCACACUACUUAAACUUUCUCCUCUCCAAGCUCGACCUCCAAGCUCCAUUUUCCUCAAUAUUUAUCUAGGUUUAGCGGUCCGUCACGUCCCGUCCCCGUCUUCACCGCCGUCGAUCGCCCGCACCGAUCUCGUCGUCGGCACCACCGUGGUGAGCCUCUUGUUCUUAUCUUCUUUCUAAAAGGAAAAAAAUUCUUACUUGUAUGUUUAUAUAGAUACUUUUAUAAUUUUUUUACUGUUAUUAUUGCAUCUUAUAUAGUGUGAUGGUUUUGGUAUCCGCCCCCGUUAGCUCUCGUCCUGCCUAUGAUUCGGAUGUGGUAUAUAUAUUAUCUUUUCAUAACUAUUGGUUCAUUUAUUGUUUAUGACAAUUAUGCCGACCAACGUGACAUAUAUUUUAUUUAUCUAGGAGGUUGUUGAACCGAAAAUUCCAACCGACCCUAUUGUCGAGAGGUUAAAUUUAGUUGAAGAAAAAAACAAUUUCUUGAAGGAAAAAAUAAGAAAAAUUGAGGAGGAGAAGAUGAUAUUGGAGUUGCAUGUUGCGGAUGUCAUCGAUGAUCACAAGAUCAAGAUGGAUGCAAUGCGCUUGAAGAUUAGAAAGAUUAGAAAAUAUGCCAUUCAUACCAAGGCUUGGUAUCAUUAUGUCGUUGGAUCAGUUGUUACAUUGGUUGCGAUUAUGAUCGCAUUUGUUUUCGCAUUGAAACGUGAAAGGAUCAAUAUAGUUGACUAGAGGGGGGGGGGGGUGAAUAGGCAACUAACAAUUUUUAGCUUUUCUUUACCAAAUUAAACUUUGCAUCAAAGUAGGUUGUCUAGAUAUGCGACUAGGUGAACAACCUAUAUGAUGCGACAACAACAAGCACACGAGCAAGCAAGGGAAACAACACAAGUAAGCUUGCAAAAGUAAAGGCGCGAGAUAACCAAGAGUGGAGCUGGUGGAGACGAGGAUGUGUUACCGAAGUUCCUUCCUUUUGAGGGGAAGUACAUCUCCGUUAGAGCGGUGUGGAGGCAUAAUGCUCCCCAAGAAGCCACUAGGGCCGCCGUAUUCUCCUCACGCCCUCACACAAUGCGAGAUGCCAUGAUUCCACUAUUGGUGCCCUUGAAGGCGGCGACCGAACCUUUACAAACGAGGUUGGGGCAAUCUCCACAACUUAAUCAGAGGCUCCCAACAACACCACGAAGCUUCACCACAAUGGACUAUGGCUCCAAGGUGACCUCAACCGUCUAGGGUGCUCAAACACCCAAGAGUAACAAGAUCCGCUAGGGAUAAGUGGGGGGAAUCAAAUUUCUCUUGGUGGAAGUGUAGAUCGGGGCCUUCUCAACCAAUCCCGAGCAAAUCAACUAGUUUGAUUGGCUAGGGAGAGAGAUCAGGCGAAAAUGGAGCUUGGAGCAACAAUGGAGUUUAUGGUUAGAAGAGGUAAGUCUUCUUGGAGAAGAAGACCCCCUUUUAUAGUGGGGGAACAAUUCCAACCAUUACCCACCACUCAGCCCGCGACCCACAAAACUACCGCACCUCAGGUGCGGUACUAUCGCACGGGCCUGCGGUACUACCGCGGCGAGCCGCGGUACUACCGUGGGCACGACAGAGACCAGACCUGACAAAAGGAGUACUAACAGGGCGCGGUAGAUCCGCAAGAGCGGUACUGCCGCGGCCCCAUACGGUACUACUGCAAGACAGCCGCAGGCCAGGCCCGGUAGGCACAAAUGUAAAAAAAUUACAUCCGUGACUACCUCCGCUGAGAAAUUGUCGUGCAAAAAUCUGACACGGAACUACCACGACCAUGGGUGCGGUACUACCGUGAAAGGUGCGGAUGUAAAAAAAUUACAUCCGCCCUUACCUCCGCACUUGCUACUGAACCUGGCCUGGUGUCACGGUACUACCGCGCCGCAGCACGGUACUACCGCGAGGAGCACGGAUGUAAAAAAUUACAUCCAUGCCUACCACCGCUUGAGCAGCGGUACCAGACCAGAGCUCGCGGUACUACCGCUCUAAGGAGCGGUACUACCGUGGGAGCCUAUGCUACUACCGUGCCGGAGCCCGGUACUAUCGCUGGCUCCUACGGUAGUACCGCUCAGAAGAGCAGUACUAUCGCUAGCCUGAGAAGAGCAAGGCGGAGGCCUUCAAAUCGCAGAGACAAGGUGAGACGGAGGAACACUCCAAGGAGCUCGAGGAAAGGCGGUGCAAAAGGGAAUGUGUACGUGAGAUUCCACCCAAACCUUUCCAAAGCGGACCCCCUCUUAAUAGUACGGCUCUCCUACGACUCAACUCCACCGAACCGAACCGUAGAGAAACGCCGUCUUCAAUAAUCUUCGAGGGACAUCAAAUCGUCUUGUGUUUAGUCGUGAUGAAUCUGAAAAGCUCAAUACACAUGAUUAGUCCGCAAAGGCAUUGUCAUCAAUCACCAAAACUACUUAGGGACAAGAAUGCCCUUACAAUCUUCCCCUUUUUGGUGGAUUGAUGAUAAUACGAGAUUUGCACUAGGGAGAUGAAUAUAGCACAAGCAAACCCCACAUUUCUAAAAUAUGGAUGAACUCCCCCUAGAUUCGUGAUAGAGAGUAAAGUGCUUUGGACUGCACGACAUGAAUACUAGGAUCACCACUCCCCCUAUAUUUUAGAAACAAAGCAUAUCUUGCAAUGGUAAGGCUGACACUAAACAAGAUAGUAGAUAUGGGCAUAACAUGAAUAGCAUGAUAUAGCACAAGAUCAAUAGGAAAUAAGAUACGAUAGAGUGCAUAUGUCUUACACCAUAUGAUAAACUUAGUCUCAUAAGCACAACCAAACCAAAGCAAGCAAGUUCAACAACGGAAAGCAAUGCAAACAAACGACGAAACACACGAUACACACGCAAAUCCUACACUCUCUCCCCCUUUGGCAUCGAAGCACCAAAAAGGCGGAGAGGUCACCUACAACAAAGGUGGUAGCUCAGGCGAAAAAUGACUCAUCAUCGCCAGACUCCGCAGCAGGAACAUACUCCUCCUCUGAAUCGGUCCACUUGUAGCCCUGCUUCUCCAUCCAGGCAGUCUCUGGGGUGAUGUGCUUCUCAGAGCCGCUGGCCACAUCCUCCCCGCAAGCCCUCAAGAUCCCGAUGUCGCGACGGCGACUCUCCUUCUAAGCAACAUGGGCCUUGUACUGACCCUGAACCUGCAUGCAGAACAGCCUCUUCAUCUUGUUCUUCAGCUUCUUUGCCCAAGAGGGCUCAGUAGAGGGAGGCGUGAACGCAGAACGGUCCUCAGCAUCGUCCUCCUCAAUCUCCUCCUCAUCCACAGCCAUCUUGGCAGCCUCAGCAGCAGUGGUGGUGUUAGCCCAUUGGGGCUUGAUGCGUAGCUUGAUGGGCUCAUGACGAAUCCAGCUUGGAGCUUCAAACUCCUCAUUGGGAAGGAGCUUCUCCCAAGUCUUGGAGAUCAGGUAAAACAGGUAAGGCCCAUAGAUGGGGACCUUACGGUUGAACACGGCGAACUGAAGCUCACACCACAUGAUAUGUGAGACAUCAAGUGGCCGAGUCUGAGCCUGACGGGCCUUCUCACAAAGGAGCAUCAUGUCAACGAGGUAAGCAUGCACCUGUCCCAUGUCACCAAUGCGCGGGAAGAGCGUGUUCCGGAAGAGCCUAUGCAUGAUGUCAAGGAAGGGGUUAAGCACCCACACCUUCUUCUUGUUGGGGAGCGCCUUCUCAACAAGGUAUGGCAUGAGCUUGUUCUUGUUGGCAGACUCAGAAUUGGCGUGAGGGCGGACUCCAACUGGCGUGUCAAGUCCUUCAUCGGGGAUGAGAAGAAACUCCAUGAACUCCUUCCAUGUAGCAGACAGUUGUCGACCAUUAGUCAUCCAAGUCAUGGUCCUUUCUUCAUUGACACCAAAGUGAACCGAAGCAAAGAGCUGAGCUAUGAUCUCUGGAUCAAAAUCCUUGUGGAAGGUGAGAAUGUGUUCAAUGCCGAACUGCUCCACAAGAUCCAAGGCCUCUCCAAAGUACCCACGCUGCUUCUCCUGCCUCAUGUGAAUCAUGUCAAUCCAAUGAACUUCAACAUAGUGAUUCUGCUUGGCCUUGAUCACAUCCAUGUAUAUCAGAUUUUGCUGCUUGUUCCAGAAGAGUUCAUUGCCUCGCGUACUAGCCCGGGGAGACACAUAUGGAUUGAUCUUCCUUCGAAUGACAAACUCGGCCUGGGGCAUCUCAUCCAUGCCCAUGACGGGCUCCUUCUGUUUGUUGGCGGUGUGCUUGGUCCUGCGUUGGGGAGCAGCAGAGGACCCCUCUGGAACGUCAUCUGGGUUGCGCAGACGCUUUGACCCUGUGUCAUGGCUGGGAUUUGAGCGACGAGCAAAAUCGGAGCCACCACCUAGACACAAAGACACGCACGGGAACAAAACGGAUCAAAACCAAACCAAAAGAAACACAAAACAUGCAAUUUGGACGAAGCAAAAGGGCGCAGGAUGAAUCUACGGUAGUACCAGGCAGGGUUACGGAAGUAAUAAAUUACAUCCUCUCCAGCCGUGGUAGUACCGUGCCGGGGUAGCACGGUAGUACCGUGCUUGGGGCGGAAGUAUUUUUUUUAACUUCCGGACACCAAGCGGUAGUACCGCACCAAGGUGCGGAAGUACCGCUGAGCGCCAGAUCCAGGUGAGGCUGCGGUAGUACCGCUCCAGGAGGAGCGAUAGUACUGCACGGUUUGAAAACCGCCACAGAGGACGCGGAUCUGGAUCUAGAACCUCCGCACGACAACUUCGGUACUACCGUUGAUCAAACGGAACUAUUUUGACUAUCCAAAGAGCAUGGAACUACACUACCACUCUACAACGAAUCCCACUUGCACAGAUUUAGCCAAAAAUCUCAAGAACACCACAUGCAUCUCCCCAAAACCUAAAAGCACAAGGAAGGACAAAAAGAAGAGGCACUUGGGGAAAAACCUGGGUCCAUGGCAAGAGGGCAAGGUGGGGAACGAUCCCACUGGUCGGAAUCCGAGGAGAGCGGCCGGAGACGGAGAUUCGGCGAAGGCCUCCGGCGCCGUUCUUGGUCAGGAGAGAGAGAGACGGGGUGGGGAAUAGAGAUGAAUGGGUAUGGGGAGUUAGAACUCCCCUUGUCUCGCUCUUAACCCCUACCCGCUCGCGGGGGCGCGGAAGUACCGCGGGUCAUCGCGGUAGUACCGCCCGGGCGGAAGUACCGCAUGCUGGGCGAUAGUACCGCUCGUUCAGCGGUAGUAAAAAAUUUCUGCCGUGGAAGUAGCGGUAGUACCGUGCCCCUGGAGGGUCACGCACUUGGCAGAGACCCACCAACUCCUGCGGUAGUACUGUGGCGCACCACGGUAGUACCGUAAACCAAGAAAGUGCUAGAACUCAAGAGAGAAAGGAGAAAAACACGAAGCAACAAAAGGCGAACACAAACACCAACUCAAACACGCCAAGGAGAAGAGAAAACCACACGACAACGAAGACCAACUACGAGACAAACCUUCUCCAAGGAAGGGUGGUGGCCGGAGCCACCUAUGUUUGAGUCACUUGGUAUGGCACCACGAAGAAUUAUCCUUGGGUCCAUGACCAAAACUCGUCUUUGAAGCACAUGUACCAUCAAGAAUGGCUAAUGUGAAAGAGUUGAUCAAUUUAUGCAUAAUGGGGGGAGGGAGAGUUCAUUGAGAGAACAACACUCCCCCUAUGUCAAUGCCUACACCUAAACUAGACAACAAGUUGAGUGUGGUGGGAGGUGCAAUGGUUCAAGUCACAUUGCUCGAAUCAAUGAUAUUUAGCUCAUGCCUUAACUCGCGAAAUCUUGCUUCAUCCAAGGGCUUCGUGAAAAUAUCUGCAAGGUUAUCAUGAGUGUUGACAUACUUGAGCUCGAUCUCCCCUCGCCUAAUGUGAUCCCGGAUGAAGUGAUACCGAAUCUCAAUAUGCUUCGUCUUGAAGUGUUGCACCGGGUUGAGAGAAAUCUUGAUGGCACUUUCAUUAUCACACCAAAGAGGCACUUUGUCACAAAUGACACCGUACUCCUUUAAAGUUUGCCUCAUCCAUAAGAGUUGUGCACAACAACUACCGUCCGCCACAUACCCCACUUCGGUGGACGAGAGAGACACACAACUUUGCUUCUUGGAAGACCAACUCACCAAAGAGCAACGAAGAAAUUGGCACCCUCCGGAAGUGGACUUCCUAUCCACUUUGUCUCCCGCCCAAUCAGAAUCCGUAAAUCCUUCAAGCUUGAAGUUUUCCCCUCUUGGGUACCAUAAGCCAAAGUUUGGGGUAUGAGCCAAAUAUCGAAAGAUUCGCUUGACCGCCACAUAGUGACUUCCCUUCGGUGCGGCUUGAAACCGUGCACACAUUCCCACACUCAACAUGAUAUCCGGUCUAGAUGCACAAAGGUAAAGCAAGGAGCCAAUCAUGGAGCGAUAUACCUUUUGAUCCACCGCUUUACCAUUGGGAUCAAUGUCAAGUUGGCACUUGGUAGGCAUUGGAGUAGAAGCCGGCUUGACAUCACUUAGCUUGAAUAUUUUUAGCAUGUCUUGAGUAUAUUUGGCUUGGUUGAUGAAGGUGCCUUCCCUUCUUUGUUUGAUAUCAAAACCAAGGAAGAACUUCAACUCUCCCAUCGAAGACAUCUUGAACUUGGAGGUCAUGAGAGCGGCAAAUUCCUCAUUGAAAGCUUUGUUAGGGGAACCAAAGAUAAUAUCAUCAACAUAUAGUUGGCAUACAAACAACUCCCCUUUGACCUUCUUAGUAAAAAGAGUGGGAUCGAUUUGCCCCACCUCAAAUCCGCGAUCUUGUAACAACUCGGUAAGGUGGUCAUACCACACACGUGGGGCUUGUUUAAGGCCAUAGAGUGCCUUAUCGAGUUGAUACACAUGAUCCGGGAAGUAGGGAUCCUCGAACCCGGGGGGUUGCUUGACAUAGACCAACUCAUUAAUAGGACCAUUAAGAAAAGCACUUUUCACAUCCAUUUGUUGCAACUUAAAGUUGUGAUGGGAAGCAUAAGCAAUCAACAAACGUAUGGAUUCAAGACGAGCAACGGGAGCAAAGGUUUCACCGUAGUCGAUACCCUCAACUUGGGAGUAGCCUUGUGCUACCAAUCUUGCCUUGUUGCGAAUGAUGUUCCCAUGAGCAUCUUGCUUGUUCUUGAAAAUCCACUUGGUUCCAAUGACGUUGUGGUUCCCCGAUGGCCUUGGCACCAAUCUCCACACCUUGUUGUACUCGAAGUUGUUGAGUUCUUCAUGCAUGGCAUUGAGCCAAUCCGAGUCUUCGAGCGCCUCAUAGACCUUUUGGGGUUCAACACAAGAGACAAACACGUGAUGUUCACAAUAGUUUGCUAAUUGUCUACGAGUGCUUACCCCCUUUCUUAGGCUUCCAACCACAUUUUCCAUGAGAUGGCCUUUGGUGGUGAGCUUGGAAGCAAUCUUCGCGGCACGACGCUCUAAUUCCUCCUCGGAUGUGGAAGGAAGAGGGUUAACUUGAUUAUCUUGAGCGCCGUCUUGAGCUUGUUCUUGAUCUUGAACUUGCUCGAGGGGGAGAACUUGACCUUGGGCAUCAUUUGGAGGUUCACCGCCAUCUUGAGAUUGAUCUUGCCCUUUGUGUUAUUCACGAGGUUGAGGGCCUUCACUUUGUUCUUCGGAAGCGUGUGGGUCUUGGGGAGGUGAUGGCUCCACUUGAGUGGAGCAUUGUCCUUCUCCUUCGGCCACAAGGGGUUCCUCAAUGGGUAGAAUAUGACCAAUACCCAUUCUUAUUAUGGCUUGGGGAGGAAUUUCAUCACCUACAUCACAAGUACCACUUUACUCCACUUGGGAGCCGUUAUUUUCGUCAAACUCCACGUUACACGUCUCCUCAAUGAGUCCGGUGGACUUGUUGAGAACACGGUAAGGAUGAGAGUUUGUAGCAUAACCAACAAAUAUGCCCUCAUAAGCUUUAGCCUCAAAUUUAGACAAACGAACACCUUUCUUGAGAAUGAAACACUUACACCCGAACACCCGGAAGUACUUGAGAUUGGGCUUGUUGCUGGUGAGUAUCUCAUAAGGAGUCUUGUUCAAGCCUUUGCGGAGAUAGAACCGAUUGGAUGCAUGACAUGCUGUGUUGAUGGCUUCGGCCCAAAAGUUGUAUGGAGACUUGAACUCCGCCAUCAUGGUCCUUGCCGCAUCCAUCAACAUCCGGUUCUUCCUCUCUGAAACACCAUUUUGUUGAGGGGUAUAUGGUGCAGCAUAUUGAUGCUUGAUCCCCUCAUCACUAAGAAACUCAUCCAAGGUGUAGUUCUUGAACCCGGUGCCGUUGUCACUUAUUAUUGUCAAGAUCUUUGCAUUAUGUUGAUGUUGAGCUUCAUUUUCAAAGUCAAUGAUGGUUUGUUGAGUCUCACUCUUCCUCUUGAAGAAAUAUACCCAAGUGUAUCUUGAAUAAUCAUCCACAAUCACCAAGUAAUACUUUCUACCUCCAAGACUAUCAAAAGAUGGAGGCCCAAAGAGAUCCAUGUGAAGGAGCUCCAAGGGUCUGUUCGAGUAGAUGAUGGUCGUGGGAGGGUGAGCCUUCUCAUGGAGCUUUCCUUCAAUACAAGCACUGCAAGCACGAUCUUUGGCAAAACUAACAUUUUUUAGUCCAUGGACAUGGUCCCCCUUGAGAAGACUUUGCAAAGAUCUCAUAUUGACGUGGGCUAAACGGCGAUGCCAAAGCCAUCCCACGUCAACUUUAGCCAUUAGGCAUGUCGCGGUCUUAGUGGGUUGCUCCAAAAAGUUUAUCACAUAGAGACCGUUCUCGACAUGCCCAACAAAGGCUACUUUAAGAGUCUUGCUCCACAAGAGGGCCAUGGUAUCAAUGUCAAAGAAAGUGGCAAAGCCCAUGAGUGCAAGUUGACGAACGAAAAGUAAAUUGUAUGCAAGGGACUCAACAAGCAUGACUUUCUCGAUCGUUAGAUCAUGAGAAAUGACAACCUUGCCAAGACCCAAUACCUUAGAAUGUGAAGCAUCACCCCACUCGACAUUGGUGGGCAUAGAUGGAAUCUUUUGCACGUCCACCACCAAGUCCUUGCUCCCGGUCAUAUGAUUCGUUGCUCCACUAUCGAGCAACCAUGAUCCCCCACCGGAAGCAAACACCUACAAGAGAACAAUGCUUGGUUUUAGGUACCCAUUUAGUAAUGGGUCCUUUGAUGUUAGUAACAAGGGUCUUAGGAACCCAAAUAGACCACUCAAUGUACUCAUAAGGAGAACCAACAAAUUUGGCAUAAACAUGUCCAUCACUAGCACGACACAACACAUAUGACGGGUUAAGGUCGCCGGCUUUGUUGGAGGAGAUGGUUUUGCCCUUUUUGACAUCAACGCCCUUCACAUUUUCCUUCUUCUCCUCAGGAUCACCCUCUCCCUCUUUCACAAAAGUUUGCUUGAGAGGAGGAGGUCGUUUGGUCUUGUCAUUCUUCUUCUUAUUCUUGGACUUAGGUGCAAACCCAGUUCCCUUCUUGGCCACCACUUCCUUUCGAUUGCUCAAAAGGUCAUUGAGGUUCUUCUCACCUUGAAUGCAUGUCACGAGGCCUUUCUCAAGUUGAUCCUUCAUCUUGGCAUUCUCCUCCACAAGAUGCACAUGCUCACAACACGGGUUAGUAGCAUAUGCAUUAUCAAUUAAUACCAUAUGAGGAAAGGUGGCCUUUUCCUUGGUUAGCUUAACUUGGAGUUGAGCAUGAGACUCCUUGAGGUUAGCGUGAGCACCCUUCAAGACUUUGUGGGCCUUGUCAAGCACAUCAGACUCCUCCUUGAUUCUAGCAUGAUUAAUCCCAAGUUUAGCCUUCUCGGAGGUUAGCACACGAGACACGACAAGAGCAUGAUCAAGAUCUUUCUUUAUCUUAGCAUGGUCAUCAUUGUAUGACCCCUCAAGAGUCAGAUGAUGCCCACGCUCUUCCUCAAGAGCAUUAGAGAGAUCCGAUAUCUCAUCAGCAUAGUCACGACUAUGACUUUCCAUCUUAGAGAUGGUUUCUUCGUGAGCCUCGAUCAUGUCAUUGGCUUCACCAAGUUGUUCCAAGAGAGCAACAAAGUGCUUCUUGGAUUUGCCCUUGAGCUUACUCAUAAAAGACUCAAAUUCAUUCACUUCCUCAUUAGACCCAUCAUGUUCAUCAGUGCAACCCUCCAAGGAGGGAUUAGUAAUGACGGUGGUUUUGAUAUUCGCCAUGAGGCAUUUGGCGGUGAUGUUCUUGUUGGGUGAAUCAAAGAGAGACACCCGGGGAGUGGUAGCAAUGGCAACGGAGGCCAUGGCCAUUGCUUCUCCAUUUUCAUCAUCAUUGUCAUCCUCAUGGUAUUCUUCUUGAACCACCAACCCAUGAGUAGGAGUCUUCUUGGUGAAGUUGUUCUUGUUGGGGAAGGACUUGGCUUUGUCUUUUCGGAUGAACUUGCCACCAUUGUCUUCCCGCUUCUCGUAAGGACAAUCCGCAACGAAAUGGCUCACAUUGCCACAGUUGAAGCAAGUUCUAACUCGUUGCUUGCCCUUGAGGCCACUUGAGUUGUUCUUGUUGAAGUUGGGUCUUGUAUUCUUCUUGCUCCAAAAUUGUCUUGAAGCAAGAGCCAUAUGCUCAUGAUAAUCAUAUUUCGUGUCUUCGGGGUUGCUCUCCUCAUCUUCCUCUUCUUCCUCUUCUUCCACACUAACCUUGGCCUUCAAUGCAAGGUUGGGCUUCUUUGCCCUUUGAGAACGGAGCACCGCAUUGUCGGCGGUCUUGUCCAAGAUGCUCAUUGCAACGAACUCAUCCAACACUUCACUUGAGGUCAUGGAGUGGAAAUCCGGUCUUUGACGAAUGAUGGAGGACAUGGCCUUGUUGUAGGGCAUCAUGGCCUUGAGGAACUUGCGCUUGAUCCAAUUGUCAUCCGUAUCCUUGCUCCCAUGAUCUCGGAGUGCGACCACGAGUUUGGUCACUCUUCGAAAGAGCUCAACGAGAUUCUUCAUCUUCUUUCAUUGCAAACUCAUCGGCUUCAUCUUGCACCACUUCAUAGUUGGAGCGUUGAAUGCUAGCACUUCCUCGAUAGAGAGACACAACACAUUGCCAUGCGUCUUUGGCCAUGGCAUGAGGUCGAAGAUGAGGGAGAUCUUCGGGAAGGAUUGCAUCUUGGAUGAUGAAGAGAGCACUCUCAUUGAAUUGAUUAUCCACCACUUCUCUCGGAGUGAAGUUGCUUCAGUCAUGUGGAUAGAAACCUUCUUCAAUGAUUCUCCAAAGAUUAGUAUUCACAUGAUUUAAAUGACGCUUGAAGCGAUACACCCAAGAAUUAAAAUCCUCAUUUUUCACAAUCUUAGAAGGAGGACCGGCAUGAUUUAAAUGAGUAGAGGGAAUCGGUCCUCCAUAAAUUGGAGGUUCCACAUGGGCAAAGAUGCCGGUGCCAUUUCUACCACUAGUAGAAGGACUCUUUUCACUGUUAGCUUCCCCCUUGUCGGAGGUAGCAUCCGUCACCUUGUUAGUGGGAUCACCCACUUUCAUCGGCGAGGUGGACAGUUUAAGUCCUUCAAGAAAUUUAGUAAACUUGCUUUCAACCUUGGUCGUCAUGGAGUCUUUCAAUGUGUCUAGAGCCACAUUGAAUUCCUCACGAGAGACCGAGGUUCCCCCAUCGGCCGUAGACGAGAUAGGAUUCACACCGGAGUGCUCCUCCGCACCGUCUGUGGUGUCAACCAUACUCUUCGGAUGGCAAAGUCCUUAAUAAAGAGACGAGGCUCUGAUACCAAUUGAAAGGAUCGAUAUAGUUGACUAGAGGGGGGGUGAAUAGGCAACUAACAAUUUUUAGCUUUUCUUUACCAAAUUAAACUUUGCAUCAAAGUAGGUUUACUAGAUAUGCCACUAGGUGAACAACCCAUAUGAUGCGACAACAACAAGCACACGAUCAAGCAAGGGAAACAACACAAGUAAGCUUGCAAAAGUAAAGGCACGAGAUAACCAAGAGUGGAGCCGGUGGAGACGAGGAUAUGUUACCGAAGUUCCUUCCUUUUGAGGGGAAGUAAGUCUCCGUUAGAGCGGUGUGGAGGCACAAUGCUCCCCAAGAAGCCACUAGGGCCACCGUAUUCUCCUCACGCCCUCACACAAUGCGAGAUGUCGUGAUUCCACUAUUGGUGCCCUUGAAGGCGGCGACCGAACCUUUAGAAACAAGGCUGGGGCAAUCUCCACAACUUAAUGGAAGGAUCCCAACAACACCACGAAGCUUCACCACAAUGGACUAUGGCUCUGAGGUGACCUCAACCGUCUAGGGUGCUCAAACACCCAAGAGUAACAAGAUCCGCUAAGGAUAAGUGGGGGGAAUCAAAUUUCUCUUGGUGGAAGUGUAGAUCGGGGCCUUCUCAACCUAUCCCGAGCAAAUCAACAAGUUUGAUUGGCUAGGAAGAGAGAUCGGGCGAAAAUGGAGCUUGGAGCAACAAUGGAGUUUAUGGUUAGAAGAGGUAAGUCUUCUUGGAGAAGAAGACCCCCUUUAUAGUGGGGGAACAAUUCCAACCGUUACCCACCACUCAGCCCGCGACCCACAGAACUACCGCACCUCAGGUGCGGUACUAUCGCACGGGCCUGCGGUACUACCGCGGCGAGCAGCGGUACUACCAUGGGCACGACAGAGACCAGACCUGACAAAAGGAGUACUAACAGGGCGCGGUAGAUCCGCAAGAGCGGUACUACCACGGCCCCAUACGGUACUACCGCAAGACAGCCGCAGGCCAGGCUCGGUAGGCACAAAUGUAAAAAAAUUACAUCCGUGACUACCUCCGCUGAGAAAUUGUCGUGCAAAAAUCCGACACGGAACUACCACGACCAUGGGUGCGGUACUACCAUGAAAGGUGCGGAUGUAAAAAAAUUACAUCCGCCCUUACCUCCGCACUUGCUACUGAACCUGGCCUGGCGUCACGGUACUACCGGGCCGCAGCAUGGUACUACCGCGAGGAGCGCGGAUGUAAAAAAUUACAUCCGCGCCUACCACCGCUUGAGCAGCGGUGCCAGACCAGAGCUCGUGGUACUACCGCUCUGAGGAACGGUACUACCGUGGGAGCCUACGGUACUACCGGGCCGGAGCCCUGUACUACCGCUGGCUCCUGCGGUAGUAUCGCUCAGAAGAGCAGUACUACCGCUAGCCUGAGAAGAGCAAGGCGGAGGCCUUCAAAUCGCAGAGACAAGGUGAGACGGAGGAACACUCCAAGGAGCUCGAGGAAAGGCGGUGCAAAAGGAAAUGUGUACGUGAAAUUCCACCCAAACCUUUCCAAAGCGGACCCCCUCUUAAUAGUACGGCUCUCCUAUGACUCAACUCCACCGAACCGAACCGUAGAGAAACACCGUCUUCAAUAAUCUUCGAGGGACAUCAAAUCGUCUUGUGUUUAGUCGUGAUGAAUCUGAAAAGCUCAAUACACAUGAUUAGUCCGCAAAGGCAUUGUCAUCAAUCACCAAAACUACUUAGGGACAAGAAUGCCCUUACAAAUUGCUUUACAUAGUUUCAAUGUAUGGUUUAAUUAAUUUAGAUGCUCUGCAGAUCUUUAUGUUGUUAGAUGAGAACUAUGUAUGUACUUUGGUUUUAAUGUGAUGAUGAACUUCUAUUAAUUUGGUCACUUAAUUAUCUAUUCAUGAUGUUCCGUAAUGAUUUUUGACACGCUUAAUUAUAUAUAAUGCACGCAGAUGAACCGGCAAUGGAUGUAUGGUUCAAGACACACCUCCGAGUACAUUAAGGGCGUGCAUGAUUUUCUCGAAGUGGCUGAGGCAAACAAGCAGAAUGGUUUUAUGUGUUGUCCAUGCCCUAUAUGUGGGAAUACGAAGUCUUACUCUGACCGGAAAAUCCUUCACACCCACCUGCUUUACAAGGGUUUCAUGCCACACUAUAAUGUUUGGACGAGGCACGGAGAAAUAGGGGUUAUGAUGGAAGCCGGCGAAGAAGAAGAGUACGAUGACAACUAUGUGCCCCCUGAAUACCGUGAUGCUACUGAAGAUCAAGAGGAACAGACAAUGUGCACGAUGAUGCUGCAACGGGCGAAGCUGCUGAAGAUCAAGAGGAACCAGAUGAUGUGCCCGAUGAUGAUGAUCUCCGUCGGGUCAUUGUCGAUGCAAGGACGCAAUGCGAAAGUCAAAAGGAGAAGCUAAAGUUCGAUCACAUGUUAGAGGACCACAAAAAAGGGUUGUACCCCAAUUGCGAAGAUGGCAACACAAAGCUCGGUACCGUACUGGAAUUGCUGCAGUGGAAGGCAGAGAAUGAUGUGCCUGACAAAGGAUUUGAGAAGCUACUGAAAAUAUUGAAGAAGAAGAUUCUAAAGGAUAACGAAUUGCCCGACAAUACAUACGCAUCAAAGAAGGUCGUAUGCCCUCUAGGAUUGGAGGUGCAGAAGAUACAUGCAUGCCCUAAUGACUGCAUCCUCUACUGCGGUGCGUACAAGGAUCUGAACACAUGCCCGGUAUGCGGUGCAUUACGGUAUAAAAUCAGACGAGAUGACCCUGGUGAUGUUGACGGCGAGCCCCCCAGGAAGAGGGUUCCUGCGAAGGUGAUGUGGUAUGCUCCUAUAAUACCAUGGUUGAAACGUCUGUUUAGAAACGGAGAGCAUACCAAGUUGAUGCAAUGGCACAGUGAGGACCGUAAGAAAGACGGGAAGUUGAGAGCACCCGUUGACGGGUCGCAGUGGAGAAAAAUCGAGAGAAAGUACUGGGAUGAGUUUGCAAGUGACCCAAGGAACGUAUGGUUUGCUUUAAGCACGGAUGGCAUUAAUCCUUUCGGGGAGCAGAGCAGCAAUCACAACACCUGGCCCGUGACUCUAUGUAUGUAUAACCUUCCUCCUUGGAUGUGCAUGAAGCGGAAGUUCAUUAUGAUGCCAGUUCUCAUCCAAGGCCCUAAGCAACCCGGCAACGACAUUGAUGUGUACCUAAGGCCAUUAGUUGAAGAACUUUUACAACUGUGGAAUGGAAAUGGUGUAAGUACGUGGGAUGAGCACAAAUAAGAGGAAUUUGACCUAAAGGCGUUGCUGUUCGUGACCAUCAACGAUUGGCCCGCUCUCAGUAACCUUUCAGGACAGACAAACAAGGGAUACCACGCAUGCACACACUGUUUACUUGACACCGAUAGUAUAUACCUGGGAAGCUGCAGGAAGAAUGUGUACCUGGGCCAUCGUCGAUUUCUUCCGACCAACCAUCAAUGUCGAAAGAAAGGCAAGCAUUUCAAAGGCGAGGCAGAUCACCGGAAGAAGCCCGCCAUGCAUACCGGUGAUCACGUACUUGCUAUGGUCAAUGAUUUACACGUAAUCUUUGGAAAGGGUCCCGGUGGACUAGCUAUUCCGAGUGACGCUGGGGGACACGCACCCAUGUGGAAGAAGAAAUCUAUAUUUUGGGACCUACCCUACUGGAAAGACCUAGAGGUCCGCUCUUCGAUCGACGUGAUGCACGUGAUGAAGAACCUUUGCGUGAACCUGCUAGGCUUCUUGGGCGUGUAUGGGAAGACAAAAGAUACAGCUGAGGCAUGGGAGGACCUGCAACGUUUGCACAAAAAAGACGACAUGCCUCCAAAGCAGUAUGAAGGUCCUGCCAGCUAUGCUCUUACCAAAGAAGAGAAGGAAAUCUUCUUUGAAUGCCUGCUUAGUAUGAAGGUCCCGACUGGCUUCUCGUCGAAUAUAAAAGGAAUAAUAAAUAUGGCAGAGAAAAAGUUUCAGAACCUAAAGUCUCAUGACUGCCACGUGAUUAUGACGCAACUGCUUCCGGUUGCAUUGAGGGGGCUUCUACCGAAAAACGUCCGAUUAGCCAUUGUGAAGCUAUGUGCAUUCCUCAAUGCAAUCUCUCAGAAGGUGAUCGAUCCAGAAAUCAUACCAAGGCUAAGGAGUGAUGUGGUGCAAUGUCUUGUCAGUUUCGAGCUGGUGUUCCCACCAUCCUUCUUCAAUAUCAUGACACACGUCCUAGUUCAUCUAGUUGACGAGAUUGUCAUUCUGGGUCCCGUAUUUCUACACAAUAUGUACCACUUUGAGAGGUUCAUGGGAGUCCUAAAGAGAUAUGUCCGUAACCGCGCUAGGCCAGAAGGAAGCAUCUCCAGGGGCCAUCAAACAGAGGAUGUCAUCGGGUUUUGUGUUGACUUCAUUCCUGGCCUUAAGAAGAUAGGUCUCCCUAAAUCGCGGUAUGAGGGGAGACUGGCUGGAAAAGGCACGCUUGGAAGAGACUCAAUAAUAUGCAGGGACGGAUAUUCUUGGUCUCAAGCACACUACACAGUUCUAUAGAACUCUACCUUGGUGACCCCGUAUGUCGAUGAACACAAGAACAGUCUGCGCUCCAAACACCCGGAGCAGUGCGACGACUGGAUUACAUGUGAACACAUCAGGACUUUCAGCAGUUGGUUGGAAACAUGUCUUAGAGGUGACAACACUGUUUGUGAUGAGCUGUACUUGUUGUCCAGGGGACCAUCUUCGACUGUUAAGAUUUGGAAAGGAUACGAGAUAAAUGGGAAUACAUUUUACACGAUUGACCAAGAUCAAAAGAGCACCAACCAAAACAGCGGUGUCCGCUUUGAUGCAACAACCGAGAGGGGAAAGGACACAUAUUAUGGUUACAUAGUGGACAUAUGAGAACUUGACUACGGACAUGAUUUUAAGGUCCCUUUGUUUAAGUGCAAAUGGGUCAAUCUGUCAGGAGGCGGGGUACAGGUAGACCCACAGUACGGAAUGACAACACUGGAUCUGAAAAAUCUUGGGUACACUGACGAACCGUUCGUCCUAGCCAAUGAUGUGGCACAGGUUAUCUAUGUGAAGGACAUGUCUACCAGACCAAGAAAAAGAAAAGAUAAGGAAGCGAAUACAUCAUACGAUGAGCCAAAGCGCCACAUGAUUCUUUCAGGAAAAAGGGACAUCGUGGGAGUGGAGGGCAAGACAGACAUGUCUGAAGAUUAUGAAAAGUUUCAUGAAAUUCCUCCCUUCAAAGUCAAGGCUGACCCCAGCAUCCUGAUAAACGAUGAAGAUUAUCCAUGGUUACGGCACAAUAAGCAAAUGACACAAGCGAAAAAAAGUGAAGACUUUCUCCUGCAACUAUUAUGAUGAUACCAUGCCAACUUUGUAACAGACGAGUAUGAUACCAUUGUCCGUUUUGUACAUGCACAUGCUAUGUGGGUGAAUUUAUGACACCAUGCCAACUUUCAACUUUUUCAGACUUCAUUUGAAAUGCUUUAAUAUCUUAUGGUUCUGCCCUCAUAAUACCAUUAAUCCCGCUUCGCUCCUUGUCAACUAUGUUCUCACCAAGAACACUCUCAACAGAAAGUUUAUAAUUUUUCUAAAACUAAUGGCACUAACAGAAAGUUUAUAAUUUUGCUGACCUAAAAGCAAAAAUAAUUAAAAAAUAAAGCAAAAAACAAAAGAAAAUAAAUAAUGCAGAAAACAAAACAAAAAAACUGGAAACAAAAUAAAAAUAGCAACAAUAAGUAUUUUGUUGUAAGUNNNNNNNNNNNNNNNNNNNNNNNNNNNNNNNNNNNNNNNNNNNNNNNNNNNNNNNNNNNNNNNNNNNNNNNNNNNNNNNNNNNNNNNNNNNNNNNNNNNNNNNNNNNNNNNNNNNNNNNNNNNNNNNNNNNNNNNNNNNNNNNNNNNNNNNNNNNNNNNNNNNNNNNNNNNNNNNNNNNNNNNNNNNNNNNNNNNNNNNNNNNNNNNNNNNNNNNNNNNNNNNNNNNNNNNNNNNNNNNNNNNNNNNNNNNNNNNNNNNNNNNNNNNNNNNNNNNNNNNNNNNNNNNNNNNNNNNNNNNNNNNNNNNNNNNNNNNNNNNNNNNNNNNNNNNNNNNNNNNNNNNNNNNNNNNNNNNNNNNNNNNNNNNNNNNNNNNNNNNNNNNNNNNNNNNNNNNNNNNNNNNNNNNNNNNNNNNNNNNNNNNNNNNNNNNNNNNNNNNNNNNNNNNNNNNNNNNNNNNNNNNNNNNNNNNNNNNNNNNNNNNNNNNNNNNNNNNNNNNNNNNNNNNNNNNNNNNNNNNNNNNNNNNNNNNNNNNNNNNNNNNNNNNNNNNNNNNNNNNNNNNNNNNNNNNNNNNNNNNNNNNNNNNNNNNNNNNNNNNNNNNNNNNNNNNNNNNNNNNNNNNNNNNNNNNNNNNNNNNNNNNNNNNNNNNNNNNNNNNNNNNNNNNNNNNNNNNNNNNNNNNNNNNNNNNNNNNNNNNNNNNNNNNNNNNNNNNNNNNNNNNNNNNNNNNNNNNNNNNNNNNNNNNNNNNNNNNNNNNNNNNNNNNNNNNNNNNNNNNNNNNNNNNNNNNNNNNNNNNNNNNNNNNNNNNNNNNNNNNNNNNNNNNNNNNNNNNNNNNNNNNNNNNNNNNNGGCUAUGCGGCUCUGUUUUUUUCAUUUUUAUUAGUUUACUUUUUUUGUUCAUAUAUAUAUAUAUAUAAUGUAUAUGUGUAUGUAUGUGGCUAUGUGUAUGUAGAUGUUCAAAAUGUAUAAAAAAUUGUUCAGAGCAUGUUUUUGUUCAUGCAUAUAUGUAUUUUUUGUUCAUAUGUGUAUUAAUGUUUUCAUAUAUGCAAAAGAUAGAUUUUUAGAAAAGUUAGGAUUUUUUCUGUUCAUAGAUUUUUUUGGUGAUAUUAUUUAUUGUAGAAUAUGCAAAUGUUUGUAUAUUCAUAUGAACAAUGCAUUAGGCAAAAACCUUUGUUUUUUUCGAAAUUUUCCAUUUGAACAUUUUUUUUAAAACAAGCAAUACUAAAAGAAUGAGAGGAAAAAGGAAAAUAAGAAGUGGAAGAAAGGAGAAGAAGAGGAGAGGAAGAAGAGGAGAAAUAAAUAAGAAGAGGAAAAAAGAAGAAAAAGAAGAGGAGAAGAAGAAAUGAAUAGAGGAGAAGAAGAAAAAAUAGAAAAUUUCUAUUUUUUCUUCUUCUCCUCUAUUCCUUUCUUCUUCUCCUCUUUUUUUUCUUCUUUUUUUUCUUCUUCUUCUUCCUUCUUCCUUCUUCCUCUUUUCUUCCUUUUCCUUAUUUUCCUUUCUCGAGGGAGAAGAAGAAAAAGAAGAGGAGAAGAAGAAGAAAGGAAUAGAGGAGAAAGAAGAAACNNNNNNNNNNNNNNNNNNNNNNNNNNNNNNNNNNNNNNNNNNNNNNNNNNNNNNNNNNNNNNNNNNNNNNNNNNNNNNNNNNNNNNNNNNNNNNNNNNNNNNNNNNNNNNNNNNNNNNNNNNNNNNNNNNNNNNNNNNNNNNNNNNNNNNNNNNNNNNNNNNNNNNNNNNNNNNNNNNNNNNNNNNNNNNNNNNNNNNNNNNNNNNNNNNNNNNNNNNNNNNNNNNNNNNNNNNNNNNNNNNNNNNNNNNNNNNNNNNNCUUCAACACGAGGGGGGGGGGUACCGAUACCCCCUCCCUGAUAACAUUAUUUUCCCAUGUAUAUGUAUGUCGCGUCGUUGUCGAUAUAACCCCCUCGAGAUAACUUCGGCAUGAGGGGCGGUCGAUAUAUAUACUCCCUCUCGACCGUGAUAACUUAUACCACGGCAGCACCCCCCUCGGCCCUCUCGCUCGACCAAAACACUCGAGGACACCCAAACCCUAGAGAGAAAACGAUGUUGGUCUCCUACCCCCUCCCGUCGCGCCCCUACCCGACAAAUUAACUCUCUCGAGGCCACCCAAAUUUACCAAGUUAAAAGAGCGUUGUCGUCGAGGCCACCCCAAACCCUUGAAGCAUUGUGUCGAGGCCACCGCAAACCCUAGAGAAGCAGCGUCGAGGCCACUAACAUGAUUCCUUAUUGUGAUUAGCUAGCUAGCUCUAUGUUUGCCACUAAUAUAUAUCCAUCUGUAUCAUGUUUGAAUAAUAAUUGACAUGUUGUAAAUAUUUGCAGAAACUAUGGAGCACUCCCGAGAAGAAGCAAUAGAAGCGAUGUUGGGGGACAUAAUCGCACAAGGAAGUGAUGUCGUUGCGUCAUUUCUCAAUGACACCGAUGGUCAAGAAGGACUGGGUGAAGAAGAGGGCUAUGUUCAUGAUGGCUCCGGCCCAUUAAUGCCGGUACAAGAAGAGGGCUAUGUUCAUGAUGGCUCUGGUGACCCAAUGGAGGUACAAGAAGGAGACCGUGCUGACUGCUCUGGUGACCGAACCGAGUCCGGCCAGGUAUAUAUAUAUAUAUAUUAGUUAAGCCCGUGUUGACUAGUUAAUUGAUGCAUUCAUUGUUUUGGUAUAUGUACACAUAUUAAUUAACUCUCGUCUUUCUUCCUUUUUCUAGCCCUCCGGAUCGAGCACAACUUCGGUAAGGAGACAAGGCCCGAAGAAAAAUUUGAGCUCGGAUGAAAGGUUUGAGAUCAGAGAAAUCACGCCCGACGGCGAACCGAUUGAACCCAUUCGGACAAAGAAUGCAUUUUCUGCUCAGUGCGGGGUUCUUGUUAGGGACAAGAUCCCGAUUAGAAUCCAGCAAUGGUAUAAGCCUAAGGAGGAAGACCCUGAGGUGUCUUAUGUCAAUGAUAUGCAGAAAGAAGAUCUUUGGACUCAGCUGAAGGCAAAUUUCACCCUACCGCCAGAGGAGGAUCCGGAGAAGCCAGUUAAAGAGCAAUUAAUCAAGUCUUGUGCUCUUAAGAAGAUGGCAACCCUAUUCAGGAGGUGGAGGAAAGAGCUAAACAAGUUUGUCGACAAAGAAGAGACACCAGAAUUCGUCGGCAAAUAUGAGAAGAUCAAAGAUCACUGGCCCGCAUUUGUGGCCCACAAGACAUUGGAAAAGAGUAAGAAGAUGUCGGCGACAAACAAGCAAAAUGCUGCGAAGAAGCAGUUUCACCAUCGCACGGGGUCAGGUGGCUACCUCAAAGCCCGGCCUAAGUGGUCCAAGGCUGAGAAUGAUCUGCUUGAAAAAGGGAUCGAACCAGAGACAAUGAACUGGCCAGACCGUUGCAGACUUGGUUCUUCGGGGCUGGCGGAACCUUGGACCCUGUAUCAGGGAAGUGCCAUUGGACGGACGCGCAACUGAAAAUACCAGUCAAGAGGCUUCGGCACUAUAUCAAUGCAGCGCAUCGAGGGACGUUCGUUCCAGACAGGGAGAAGGACGAGCUCACAAUGGCCCUCGGGAAUCCUGAGCACCCUGGACGGACAUGAGGCACGCCAGGCUCCAUUCCGUGGAAGGUUGGUUUUCCGGACGCACGGGGUUACAAAACCCACGAGAGGAGGAAGAAACUGGAGCAUGGCCAACUGCAGGCGCUGCACGAAAGGGUAAUGGGGCUAGAGGAACGAGAAGAGAAACGAGAAGCAGCAGAUCGCAGCAAACGACCUGCCGAAGCUUCCCCAGAAGCUAACCCGCCAUCUCGGCGGAGAAGCAGCGUGGCUUCCACCGAGCUACUUCAGCCGGAGCAUGUCUUGACGGCUCCUGCCAAUUAUCCCGUGGAUGCUAUCACGGAGUCUCAAAAUUGCCACAUUAUGACGCGAUGGAUGAAUUUGAAGGUCAAGGCGGCUAUUGGCUUUGUUUAUCCUACUGAACACGGCGCAACUUUUCACUACCGGCCGAUUCCAGAAGGAUAUGCUAGGGUGAUGGUGGAUGAAAUAACGGAGGGAUUUGAGGACCUCCAGCUUGACCACCCUACCGGUGAAGGGGAGACUAGGCUGGGUUCUGCUCUGAAGACUCCAUGCCUAUGGCAGAAGGAGCUCAUCAACCUUCCGAAUUGGACGCCUCCGCCUCCUCCUCCUCCUCCGGCGAGUCAGGGCACUCCGCCUCCUCCACCGCCUCCUCCUCCGAGGAGUGACAAUCAGGGCACUGGGCCUCCUUCUCCGGCGCGUGGCGGCACUCCGCCUCCUUCUCCGCCUGCGCCGGCGCACCCGAGUAGCCAGCAGCCUCCUCCUUCUCCGCCUCGCCAGAAAGGGCGGAGGAGACCCGCCGCCGCCCCGGCUGCUCUGGCGCGUCGUAGUCCUUCUCCUCCGCCUCAUAAGCAAGCACGUAAGAAGACAGACGCCGCAGCAGCUCCGUCUGCUCCGGCGUCUAGCAGCACAACCAGAGGCAGGAGGCAAUACAGAUACGGUCCACCUCUCAAGCCUCUAGAGAAGUUACCGUACGAGAGGACCGAGGAGGAAAACGCGACGAUCGUGCGGACCCACGUGAAGAAGUUCUUUGAAGGGGUGAAAGCAAAGAGACAUCCACCUCCGGGGGAGAAGGUAGAUCCGGUGAAAGCAAAGCGCACUCUCGAUGCCCUGAGGAAACCGGCAAAGUCUCCGCCAAGAAUCAACUAUGAGCGCAUUACUGAACAGACAUAUCUCCAAGCGGAGCGGUCGGGAAGUACUGUCAGACAUCAAAGGUCAAGAGAACGAGCAGCUGCGAAAAAAAUUGACCAGCUCGGCGAACAAGCAAACCAAUCGUGCCCCCCGCUCAAUGUGUCUAGCGGCAACAUCGUCGCUAAUGCUCCGGGGAUGGUGGCCGGUUAUGGCAAUCUACAAGAUUACCUGCCUGACGAUCAACUUCCUGAUUUCAUGGAGGUGGACGAACACAGAUACGAGUACAGGAAGCCUCUCGUCAAAGAUGAAAACCUGCAGAGAGUCUGGGGGAACGAAUAGUUUGUAUCUGAACAUUAAAGAGGAGCACGACCUCAUUGGAACUGAUCUGUUGUGUGUUCCAUUUGAGGAGUUCUUCGCGUUCUUCAAUCAAAAGGCCCUCGAUAAAUUAACGGUCUUUUGCUACUGCAUGUAAGUACUAUUUCUGCCAUUAAGUCUCUAUAUAUAGCUCAUCUCUUUCAUUGCAUGUAUUUAUAAUUAAUUAUCCUCAAUAUAUUAUGCAGAUUGAAGAUCGUCGAGUGUAGAAAAUAAGAAAUUUAUGAUAUUGGGUUCAUUAACACAAAUAUCAUAGAUGAAUUUCUGGUUAAAAAGCAUGCCAAAGAGGCCGAGGUCAACUUGCUACAAUCGUUGAUCAAAAAUCAAAACAAAGAUAUCAUACUCUUUCCUUACAACUUCAAGUAAGUGUUACUGUCGUGUGCAUAUUCGGUUUCCCUUAUUACUCGAGCGAGGUUAUAGUAAUGUAAUUGAUGAGUUAUGCAUGCGUGUGCAGCUUCCACUAUGUUCUUCUGGAGAUUAAGCUUGAGCAGGGACUAGUAACCGUCUUAGACGAAAAGAUCCCGAAACCUAUGCGGACAUGACUAAAUUGCUCAACAAGUAAGUUCAAUCGAUCAUUAUCGCACCAUAUCGGCAACUUUUUGUUCAUUUCCUGAUAUCUCAAGUAAUAAUUAUUAUUUUUUGUCUUGCAGGGUUUGGAAACAGUUCACCGCAGAAGCUCCAGGACUGCCGAAGGAGCUGCGAUAUACAUACCCGAAAGUAAGUACUACUAGCUAGCUAGUUGCGCGCAUCUCCCGUUGAUUCUAUAGCUAUACUUUCAUAAAUGCCAUUUAUAAUGCUUCAUUAUCAGUUUGAUUGACCUCUAUUUCUCGUAAAGUGCUUGUGGCAGGAACAAGGGAAUGAUUUCUGUGGAUACUACGUGUGCGAGUUCAUCUACAACGCGACUUUGAAAAAUAAGCGGAGCUACUCUAAAAGACAGUAUGAAGUGCGUAAGCAAUAAUAUUCACAAUUUCAUUUUAUUACACCAUCAUUUCUGUUGAGUUUCAUUCAUAUAUAUGUAUUAAUUAACCCCUUCUUCAAAUUAGACGUGGCAGAUGCGGAAUGAACUCCUAGAACUAGAUCGCAUGAAAGCAAUUCAAGAGGAAUUGGCGGAAUUCUUUUUUGACCACGACAUCAAUAAAGCCGGAGAAUAACAUGUGGAAGUUGAUUUCAAUUGCUAGGGGAUUGUAAUUAAGAGAUCUUACAUAUUGUAUAUGUAUGUAGCCAGUAGCUUCGGAUAGAUAAUACGAAAACUUGUUGUUCGACCAAUCUCUCGGAGAAGGAGAGGUCGAUCGAUCACUUCUCUCGGUAUGCAUGAUGAACUUUUGUACUUAAUGGUUCCCUUCAUUUUCUUACUAGCUAGCGUGUCGAGGGCCUCUCUAUGUAUAGUACGUAGCGUCGACCAAGCACGGACAUAAGAGAUGACACUUCUCUCUAUUAAUUAGCUAGCUAACACAAUAUAUGAAACACCCAAAUUAACCCCCCAAAACCCCNNNNNNNNNNNNNNNNNNNNNNNNNNNNNNNNNNNNNNNNNNNNNNNNNNNNNNNNNNNNNNNNNNNNNNNNNNNNNNNNNNNNNNNNNNNNNNNNNNNNNNNNNNNNNNNNNNNNNNNNNNNNNNNNNNNNNNNNNNNNNNNNNNNNNNNNNNNNNNNNNNNNNNNNNNNNNNNNNNNNNNNNNNNNNNNNNNNNNNNNNNNNNNNNNNNNNNNNNNNNNNNNNNNNNNNNNNNNNNNNNNNNNNNNNNNNNNNNNNNNNNNNNNNNNNNNAAAAACAAAAACCCCAGCCACUGGAAUGCUGACGCGUGGAUGCCUUUUGGUCCCGGUUGGUGCCACCAACCGGGACCAAAGGCCCCUUGCCUGGGCUUGGCGCACCGGCCACGUGGAGGACCAUCUGUCCCGGUUCGUGUUAGAACCGGGACUAAAGGGGGGAGGUAUUAGUAACGACCAAUUAGUCCCGGUUCAUGAACCGGGACUAAAGGCCCUUACGAACCGGGACAAAUGCCCCCUUUUCUACUAGUGUGAUAUUGUGUUCUACCAUGCCCUCACUCCUUUUCCCUCUUGUCAACGGUACUACUUUCAGGUGGAAUACACAGAGAACAAUUUGAAGGAGUACAUCCACAGAGAUGGUGAUACCCUACCAGCAGUGGCGGAGCUACAAACAGAUUCUUGGGCGGGCCAAUGUGAACCUGUGCUACAACUGGGCUGCUGCAACUGACCUGUGUUAUAGUGCGUGGGCUGGGCCUAGUUACAAAUAUGUAUUUUUGCAGAAAAGUAGGGUGGGCCAAGGCCUGGUUUGGCCCUCACGUAGCUCUGCCAGUGCCUACCAGUCAAGCUUGGAGAUGGACCGUAGCUUGCGACGGUCGAUUCAUGCUUGGAACUGACAAGGGGGCCACCAUCACGACGAACUAAUCAUGAUUUCGCCACCACCCGGACAUCUAGCAAGGUGACAUUUGCACCUUGCUUUUCGAGCACAAGGAAGGGCGUCACCUCUCUCUCAUGUGCACUGUCUCUAGACGCACCAUCGUCAGCCGCAGCUACCGCCUAUACAUAUGAUCCAUGUAUGGUCUUUCAUUUCUAUCUAAGACUUGAUAUGCCCGCGCUCUGAUGAUUCAGUGAACUAUGCCCUCUCUAAGACUUAAUAUGUCUGUGCUCUGUUGAUCCAGUGAACUAUGUCUCUCUUUUGGAAAUCGCCCACCUUGUAGAGGAUGUUAGAGUUUGAUUUCAACCGAUCACCAUGCUCUGUGAUGAGUCAUCCAUCCUGUAAGACUGUCACCUCUCUGUUAAGAUUGACAUGCGUGCUUUAUGAGUUAAUAUUGUAUUGCUGCAGUUCUAUUCCAUGUAAUCUCUUUUAACAAUUGGCACUCAUUUGCGCUGCGUAAAGACGUUACCAAAUGCUUCGGCAAGAUUAGUACUCACAGUAUUGCAGAGGAGGCGCGUCAAGGGCGCAUCCCAGCCACUAGUAAAGUCUAUUUUCCGUCAAAGAUAAACUCGGGCCGGCAGACAGAUGAUAGGUCCUGUAUAUCAGAGAACAUAUGCCACAAACAAAAACGUGUGCGACAACGGUAGCUCACAAUCAUGUCCCUGAAUCACGAGUUAUUUGUACUCCCUUCAUCCCAAAAUAAAUGUCUCAAAUUUAGUGCAACUUUAUAUUAGAGUUAACAUAAAGUUGAGACAUUUAUUUUAUUUUGGGACGGGGGAGUAUUAGUUUCGUUCACUAUAUAGACGUAGAUAUACUAUUUGUUUUGGCAGACAAUGCUGCAGUAAUAACAAAACCUUCAUGUUAGCGGCGCCUUCUAACCAGAGUGUAGCAACGAGCUUUCCGGCCCGUGCUGUGCUGCCCUCUGGUGACGCUCAGAGUCUCGGCACACUGACACCUCAGCUAUGAUUCCUAUGAACGCGGCGCGACCGUCUCCUCUAACCGACGACGACGGUUCGCGCCACCUGGUGUUGCGUCGCGUCUCCGCGCACCGCCCGAGCUCAGUUGUUGGUUUCCUUCGUCGCGUUACGCGCGUCAUCUUGGCCGCUCCCGCGUCACGAUCCAACAGCGAGGUCUACCUGCAUUUGACGGGCGGCGCGCGGCGCCGUUUGACAGAUCGCGCCGGGUCAUCACCGUUUUUACCCCGUCGCGCCGGUCGCCCCGACCUGACACCUGCGCGCUCGCGAGUCGCGACGACGAUCGCACUCCAUCACGAACUCAGCGGCGGAAAACGAGCCUGGCCGGGGAGGAUCGGGCGUGUGUACGGGGUUGACCGCGUGCAGGCUCUCGCGGCAGACAUCAAUGGGCUCGCACCGCGCUGCCGCCUCUGCGCGCCGACGGAAAACGAUGGGCAUCGCAUCACACUCCGUAUGCUGCUCGUACUACGUCCUAUUUCUGCUAUCCACAUCACGAAUUUAAGCCAGUGACCGUCCGUCUUUCCCGUUCCACCUGGCAGGCUCAAGACUCUCUUCAAGCUGCCAGCAGGCAGCUGACUUUUGUGAAUCAUUUGAUAGGCUCGCGUCUCGUUGCCUCUCAGUGUCUUUGUCGCCUCUUGGGAUGCCGAUGCCGAUGCCGUUUGUCUUCUCCAUUUUUCGGUUUUUAGAGCAGCGUAACCUGUGGCCGGAGAGUGAGUGCAGGACAACUCUGGCAAUGGCAAUCAUGCAAACAGUGUGUCGUCCCAUGGGCGAGAGCGACACGGCUUGAAGGGCAGCACGCCCAAGUCAAACCCCUGCUCCCGUUUUGCUGGACGCCGUGUACGGGCAGGGGUCGUCGGCCCGUCCCUGCACCCAUCUGUUGAUAUCGUCCAGCGCCUGGCCGACCCAUGAUCAUCUCCAACCAAAUGUCAACCCUUGAACUAUUCGUAACGAAUGCAAUCAAUCAUCCAAGUAAACCCCGUGCUUUCUUGGCCCUCGACUGACUUAAACCCUAGCGGCCACAUUCUGUCCGGCGCCUACUGUUCGUGGCACUGCUGCGUCAUCGUCUCCUGCCUCCAUUCAUCCCAGCCUCGAACUGCCAACGGCGAACUGAUUCGCCAACAAGAUCUGUGACUUUUUCUGAAGAGAGAGACGGAGCUUUGAGGAUAGGGAAGCUUGAAUGCAGGCAGGCCGCAUUCAUUGCGGGUUAGCGCUCCGAUCCCUUAUCGCUUUCACAAUGAUGAUGCAGCUUGCGUAGGGUUCGCUUUAGUCGCGACUUUGGUUGCCGCCUGCCUUUGAUCGGCGUAAACCGGAACGAAGAAACAUGGUGUCCAACUGAAGCUGAUUCCGUAGCAUUACUAUUGUGCGUACCUCAUUCGUCUUCUCAUUCCUCAGUGUCAAGUGUGAGUACUAAGCAGCACAUGAAAACUGUGAUGCGGCCAGUCCGGGUCGACAGUAGUGUGUGUCGUCUGUUAGACUUAGAGAUAUAUUGCUUUUGUAAUCUCAAACUAACUCUAUCUCUUCCUCUCCCGUAGCUCCUUGUAUCUUCUUUGUAACAAACCGAAUACCAAGAGAUCGGUAGCUUCUUGUAAGCCACGGCAGGGGCAAUUUCUGCCUCGAUCAAUAUAACCCCACGCAGCUCUCUACGGAGAGUAGGAACGCUUCUCAUCUAACAUGGUAUGAGAGCCAAGAAGUAUUGAGUUCAAGACCCUGCCAACGCAGUGUUAUAAAAAUGAUUUUGCGGCCUACAACAAACCCACGUCUAAGGACUAAAAUAGCCUAGACGCGAGGGAGAGUGUUGAAAUAUAUUGCCCAUCUCCCUCCAUCAGUUCAGACUUAUGGAUGAGUUGGAUGGACCAUGAAUUCAAUAUGGUAUACAGAGCCAUCCUCUUCCCAUCGAUCUAGCCAGCAACCUCCUUCCUCGUUUACCCACGCCAUGUCGUCGUCAUCCACCGUCUCCCUCAACCUUGGUGCUCUCCCAUCUGAGAAGCUCACCAAGACCAAAUUCAUCCUAUGGAAGGCACAUGUCAUGCCGGGCCUGCGAGGAGCGCAGGUCACCGGCCUCCUGGACGGAUCUGAGGUAGCGCCACCGAAGACGGUGCAGCAGCAGCAAGCGGACAAAAUUGUCGCCGCACAACCCAAUCCUCUGUAUGCACAGUGGAUAUCAAAGGACCAGCAAGUCCUCAGCCACCUCCUGAAUUCUCUGUCAAUGGAGAUCCUCGCCCAAGUUGCGAGCAAAGAGAUAACGUUUGAUCUCUGGACUGCCAUCACCACCCUGUUUGCCUCGCAGUCCCAAUCGCGCAUCACCAACCUGCGGAUUGCCAUCACAACACCAAAAAAGGCUCCAUGUCCAGCAGCGCCUAUAUCUCCAAGAUGAAGAACCUGGGGGAUGAGCUCGGAGCGGCAGGUCACCCCGUCUCAGACCCAGAUAUGGUGGACUACGUUCUUGCCGGCCUCGACAAAGAUUAUGACCCUGUUGUGGCAGCCAUCGGCGCAGUAAAAAAUCAGAUCUCAGUCGAUGACUUAUUCGCUCAGAUUGCAGUGUUUGAUCAACGCGUAGAGAUGCUCGGCGAUGGUCCUGAUGGAGGGUUCAAGACCUCGGCAAACCUAGCCUACAGGGGGCAUGGGUGCAGCUACAGCAGAGGCCGCGGGCGCAAAUGUUGGGUAACGUAGUAAUUUAAAAAAAAUCCUACGCACACACAGGAUCAUGGUGAUGCAUAGCAACGAGAGGAAGAGUGUGUCCACGUACCCUCGUAGACCGAAAACGGAAGCGUUAGCACAACGCGGUUGAUGUAGUCGUACGUCUUCACGAUCCGACCGAUCAAGUACCGAACGCACGGCACCUCCGAGUUCAGCACACGUUCAACUCGAUGACGUCCCUCGAACUCCGACCCAGCCGAGCUUUGAGGGAGAGUUCCGUCAGCACGACGGUGUGGUGACGAUGAUGAUGUUCUACCGAUGCAGGGCUUCUCCUAAGCACCGCUACGAUAUUAUCGAGGUGGAUUAUGAUGGAGAGGGGCACCGCACACGGUUAAGAGAUCCAAGGGAUCAAUUGUUGUGUCUAUGGGGUGCCCCUUGCCUCAGUAUAUAAAGGAAGAGAGGAGGGAAGGGGCCGGCCCUCUCUAUGGCGCGCCCUGGGGAGUCCUACUCCCACCGGGAGUAGGAUUCCCCCCUUCCAUGUAGUAGGAGUAGGAGUCAAGGAAAGGGAAAAUAGAAGAGAAGGAAGGAGGGGGCGCAGCCCCUCCCCCUAGUCCAAUUCGGACUAGGCCUUGGGGGCGCGCACAGCCUCCCCUCUCUCUUUCCCCUAAAGCCCAAUAAGGCCCAUAUACUCCCCGACGAAUUCCCGUAACUCUCCGUUACUCCGAUAAAUACCCGAAUCACUCGCAACCUUUCCAAUGUCCGAAUAUAGUCGUUCAAUAUAUCGAUCUUUACGUCUCGGCCAUUUCGAGACUCCUCGUCAUGUUCCUGAUCUCAUCCGGGACUCCAAACUACCUUCGGUACAUCAAAACACAUAAACUCAUAAUAUAACCGUCAUCAAACUUUAAGCGUGCGGACCCUACGGGUUCGUGAAUUAUCUAGACAUGACCAAGACACGUCUCCGGUCAAUAAAAAAAUAGCGGAACCUGGAUGAUCAUAUUGGCUCCCACAUAUUCUACGAAGAUCUUUAUUGGUCAAACCGCAUAACAACAUACGUUGUUCCCAUUGUCAUCGGUAUGUUACUUGUCCGAGAUUCGAUCGUCGGUAUCUCAAUACCUACUUCGAUCUCAUUACCGGCAAGUCUCUUUACUCAUUCCGUAAUACAUCAUCCCGCAACUAACUCAUUAGUUGCAAUGCUUGCAAGGCUUAUAUUGAUGUGCAUUACCGAGUGGGCCCAGAGAUACCUCUCCGACAAUCGGAGUGACAAAUCCUAAUUGUAAGUGCAUUUAGUGCCACCCCUAGUUGGUUUUGGAGUAUUGACGACAAAGUUGGUUGAGGGACUAAUGCGUUUGUGAGAAUUGCAGAAUAACGCAGGUAGUGUCCCUCAUUGAUUCGGUUUACCUACCGGAGAUGACCCCUAAAAAUGUAUGAAGACAUUGAAGACAAUGGUGGUAUGAGAAGAUAUUCAUAUUGAAGACUAUGACAUGAGAAGACAUUGUGUGAAGACUAUGGAGCACGAAGACUGUGUGGUUUCGUUGUUUCCUUUUCUACUUUGUUGAGUCAUAGGAACCACCGUACUGUUAAGUGGGGUCCAAGUGAACUAAGUCAGAGUGACUGAAGUGAUGCUCAACCCAAAUCCUAUGUCUUCGAGCGAAGACAAUGAGAGAAAAUCUUAUCCAGAGUUGGAUGAGUCAGCUUUGCUUGUAGCCCAAGUAAAGUUGCCGUGUGUGUUUGAAAUCUGACCGUUGGAACACGUGUCAGUUCCUUAGUGACCCAGGGUCAUUUCGGACAAAUCAGGUCGGGUUGCCUAGUGGCUAUAAAUAGCCCACCCCCUACACCAUAAAUUGGUGGCUGCUCAGAGUUAAGAUAUGUCUUUUGUCGUUUGAGAGCAACCCACCUCGAAGCAUUUGAGAGAGAGAAAUCCUUGCGAGGACAAAGCCCAAACACCCAGAGCCAAAGAGUGUUAGGCAUCACUGAAGUCUUUCUGUCUGUGUGACCUGAAGACUUAUUACACUUGAGGACUGUGUAUCCUCCAGCCGGUUAGGCGUCUCGUUCUGAGCAUCCAAGAGUCAUUGUGGAUUGCCGGGUGAACGGAGUCUGUGAAGGUUUGGAAGUCUACCUUGAAGACUUACCAGAGUGAUUGGGCGAGGACUGGGUGUCCUUAGCUCAAGGGGAAUAAGGUGAAGACACGAUCUUCUGAGUUGAAUCUCAGCCUCCCUAACUAGACGUACAGUUGUCACAGCAACUGGAACUGGUCCAACAAAUCCUGUGUCUUCAACAAGCAACUGGUUCUAUCUCUUCCCACCUUUACUUGAGUUUGUCUUCGUGAAGUCAUUGCUUAUCGUCUUAUCUGAUUGACUUCAUUGCUUGACUACUAUUGUUGAUUGGCUUCAUACUAUCUUCCAUCCCGAUCCUACUACCUAGCUGCUAAUAAUCUUUAAACGUUAAUGCUAUUGCAUACUUGAUUAUGGCUUGCUUGUUGUAGUUUAUCUUCCGCUGCAUAUCAAUUAGGUUGCCUCUAGUGUUUGUCUUCGAAACUUCCAUGUUUUGAAGACUUUCAUAAAAAUCGCCUAUUCACCCCCCUCUAGUCGAUAACUAGCACUUUCAAUUGGUAUCAGAGCAAGGUACUCCCUUGUUCUGUGUGAUUCGGUUUAACCACCUGGAGUUUAGCUAUGUCGACUGCAGGGAUAAUCAAAGUCUCCGCUGCUUGCCCCGUGUUCGAUGAAACUGAAUAUCCCUACUGGAAGAAUAAGAUGCGCAUGCAUCUUGAAGCCAUUGAUGUCGACCUCUGGUAUGUUGUCAAGAAUGACAUUCCCAAAGCUGGUGAAGGUGUCACCCCUAUUGAUGUCAAGAAGUUCAUUCAACUGGACUCGACUGCAAAGAACAUCAUCUGUGGUCAUCUGACCAAAGGACAGUAUGGCCGAGUGAGUGCUCCGGAAACCUCAAAGCUAGUCUGGGACUGGCUGUCUAAGGUCAAUGAAGGCGUCUCUACAUUGAGAGACCAGAGGAUCAGUGUUCUUCGCAAUCUCUUCAAUCGCUUCAAGAGAAACGACAAUGAAAAUGUCCAUCUCACGUUUGACCGCCUCACCGACAUCACAAAUGAGCUUCAGGCUCUCGGCGCCACUGAGAUCACCAAGCAUGAAAUUGUCAAGACACUGCUAAGAUCACUUGACACCUCCUUUGACACCCUUGCCCUCAUGAUACAAGAACGUCCUGACUUCAAGACACUCGAUCCGUCUGAUAUACUUGAGAGGCUCAACACACAUGAGUUCCAGCUUUCUGAGAAAAGAUAUAUCUAUGGCCCCAACUAUGGCCGAACUCGUGCUUUGAAGGCAAAAGUUGUUUCCUCAUCUGAAGAAGAAGAAUCUGACUGCGGUUCUGACGAUCCUGAAGACAUUGGAAGGGAGCUUGCUAUGCUUGUGAAGAAGUUCCAGAAAUUCACCAAGAAGAAGGGCUUCAGAAAGUCUUCAUGAUCCAGUUCAAGAAAUGAUGAAGCUUCCACUCAAGACAACAAGAAGAGAACAUGUCACAAGUGUAAGAAGCCUGGGCACUACAUCUCUGAGUGUCCUCAGUGGGACAACGAGAAGAAGAAGAAGAAGAGCAAGGAAUAUGACUCCGAUGACAAGAAGAAGAAGGAAUAUGACUUUGAGUGUCCUCAUCCGGCAAGGCUCGUGCUUUUGUUGGCAAGGAAAAGGAUUCAGAGGAGGAGUCUGCUUCUGAGGAGGCAGAGGAGGAAUCUGAAGCUGAAUCCGACUCCGGCGUUGCAAGUCUGGCUCUGGCCACUGCCUAUGUUGCCAAGUCCAUCUUCAACACUGAAGACAAUGACUCACACACCAACGCUGAUGAUGACAAGGACAAUCUUGCUCCCACCUACUGCUUCAUGGCACGCGGUACCAAGGUAAAAUCACGCGAUGCUUACUUUCAAACAUCAAGUGAAGAUGACUCUGAUUGUGAAUCCAAACCCAGCUACAAAACACUUGCUAAAAUUGAAACUGAACAACAAAAGGCUAUGGAAUAUACUCAAAAACUGUUAGACAAAAGCGAUGACCUGUUGGACGCGGAAAUGACACGUACACAGUCCUUAGUUGAAGACAUAAAAAAUCUUCAUGCUAAGUAUCAAGAACUUGAAAAUCUUCAUGAGACGCUCUCAACCUCUAAUGAAAAGCUCUCCUAUGAUUAUCUUCAAAGGAAGCAAGACCUUGAGAAAUUGAAAGCGGCUCAUGAAGAUCUUCAAAAGGAAAAUGUGUCACUUCGCGCUCAACAGAUCAGUUCCGCUCAGGAAGGAUUUGAACCACCUUGCUUAAAAUGCAUUGAGCGUGAUAACGCUGCCUCUCUUGCUGAAUCUUCCACUGCCGCUACUGUUGCUCUGUCUUCAACUACUGAUGUGGUAACUAACCCCUCUUCUAAGGAUACCACUACUAUUUCUAAUGAAAAUGCUAGGUUGAAGACAUUGCUUGAAACAGGGAUGUAUAAGAGUCUGAAAGGGCAUCAGACACUUUGUGAUGUCCUCAAAAAGCAGAUUCUGAACCGAAACCCUAGGAAAGAGGGUGUUGGGUUCGAGAGGAAAAUGAAUGCUGAUGGUUCCUACUGGAAGCCUGAGCAGUAUCCCAAAACCACAUGGGUUGUUGCAAAGGAACCUUCAGUGGAUCCAUCUACUUUAUCUGGAUAUACCUGUGCUAAUCCUAUUAUCAUUGAUGAAUCCUUUGAUGCAAACUAUAAACUGUUCAAAAAUCAUAAUGGUGAAGUGUUUGCCAGGUAUAUUGGUACUAACUGCAGGAAUGGACCUCCAAUGAACAAGAUCUGGGUUCCCAAAAGCUAUCUUGAAAAUCUUCCGGUGAAUGUUGUCAUGACACCACCUAUGAAGAAGACAAAUCCCGGACCAAAGGCAUCACAUGGUCCAACGGCUUCAUACGGAAACAGGACUCACCCGAGUCACCCUAACGCCAAUGUUUUGCAGGGAAAUCAUACUCAAACUUAUGAAUAUGAGCGUGUGUCUUCAAACCGCUAUGUUCAUAAUACUAAGAACUUUUCUGCUUAUUCAUAUGAGUAUCAUUCAUCUCCUGCAAGGCUAUUUGCUAGGGCUUCAAAGCCGAAAUUCUCAGAUGCUGCACUUAGACUCAUUGCUUCUAAGCCACCCCUGAAGAUGUGGGUGGUGAAGAAGAACUAACUCUCUUUUGCAGAAAAUGGUCUCCAGCCAGUAAUCAAUGGCGUCCGAUAUUAUUGCUGGGGACCUAAAACACAAAGGGACGCAUGAUGAAAUCACUUAAUAUGUAUUCCACAUAUGAAUCGCUUACCUUCAUACUGUGUGCUAACUCUCAUCUAUGCUGUGAUAAUCCAAGUGUGUAUCAAAUGCUUAUGCUUCACAACAUACAUUGUGAAGCCUAUCCCUCUAACUGCACUGUAGGGUACACAAAAAGCUUCAGAAUGGAUUAUUGACAGCGGAUGCACUAAUCAUGUGACAGGCGAUCAAAGUCUUCUCAUGGACUCAACCUUACGUCCAACCGACAAGAGUCAAAUCACAUUUGCUGACACUGGUAAAGGCAAAGUAUUGGGUCUAGGUAGAGUUGCAAUCUCAAAGGAUCAACACAUGGAUAAAGUGAUGCUUGUUGAAUCCCUUGGAUUCAACUUAAUGUCUGUCUCAAUGCUUUGUGACUUAAACAUGAUUGUGAUAUUUGGAAAAUAUCGUUGCCUUGUACUAAUGGAAUCUGACAAAUCUCUAGUCUUUGAAGGGUAUAAGAAAGGUGAUCUAUACAUGGUAGAUUUCUCAGCAGGUCCAAAACUUGCCGUAUGUCUUCUUGCAAAAGCUUCAGAAUGCUGGCUCUGGCAUCGCAGGCUGGGGCACGCUGGCAUGAGGAACUUGCAGACUCGUCAAAAGGAAGCAUGUCAUAGGCAUCGAAGGUGUCAAGUUCAAGAAAGAUCAUCUGUGUGGUGCCUGCGAAGCUGGAAAGAUGACAAGGGCCAAGCAUCCUUCAAAGACAAUCAUGACGACAUCUCAACCCUUUGAGUUGUUGCACAUGGACUUAUUUGGACCUACCCACUACUCCACCCUCACAACAACGGCGUGUCUCUAUGGCUUCGUCAUUGUUGUUGACUACUCAAGAUACACAUGGGUGCACAUAAUUCUCUACAAGACUGAAGUACAAGAUGUCUUCAGACGAUUCGCCAAUCGAGCAAUGAACAACUAUGGCGUCAUGAUCAAGCAUAUCAGAAGUGAUAGCGGCACUCAAUUCAAGAACAUCGACCUUGAUCUUUAUCUGGAUACAAUGGAAAUCACUCAUGAAUUUUCUGCUCCAUAGACACCUCAGCAAAACGGCAUUGUAGAGCGCAAGAACAGAACCCUCAUAGAGAUGGCUUGAACAAUGCUUGACGAGUACAAGACACCAAGAAAGUUCUGGCCUGAAGCCAUUGAUACAGCUUGUCACAUCAUCAACCGUGUCUACAUCCAUAAGCUUCUGGGCAAAACAUCCUAUGAGCUCCUCACUGGCAAGAAGCCAAAUGUCAGCUACUUCAGAGUCUUUGGUGCUAGAUGUUGGAUCAAGGAUCCCCAUCACAAGUCAAAAUUUGAACCCAAAGCUCACGAAGGCUUCAUGCUUGGCUAUGGAAAGGAUUCGCACUCCUACAGAGUCUUCAACCUCUUCCACUACAAAAUCGUUGAAAUAGUGGAUGUGCGAUUUGAUGAAACCAAUGGUUCACAAAGAGAAAUUCUGCCAAGUACACUUGAUGAAGCUCCUUCCUGUGAAUCUAUCAAGUUGAUGGGAACUGGUGAGAUCAUGCCCUCUGAAGCACAGCCUGAAGAGGAACUUAUCAUUUCUGCACCAAACCAACCUGAAGACAAUGCUCAGACCGAAGACAAUACUUCCAAUGAUGACAAUGAUCAGCAUGAGCAAGGACUUCGUCCAGUUCAUCCUCGUGUUGCAAAUGAAGUACAAAUCGAGAAGAUAAUUGAAAGCAUCAAUGCGCCUGGUCCGCUUACUCGAUCAAGGGCAACACAGCUAGCAAAUUUCUGUGGGCAUUUUUCAUUUGUAUCAAUAUCUGAACCCAAGAGAGUUGUUGAAGCUUUUAUGGAACCUGAAUGGAUUCAAGCCAUGCAAGAAGAACUUCAACAGUUCAAGCUGAAUAAUGUUUGGGAACUUUUCAAGCGACCUGACCCUCGCAAGCAUAACAUUAUUGGAACAAAGUGGAUAUAUCGAAACAAGCAAGAUGAGCAUGGUCAAGUCGUCAGAAACAAAGCACGUCUUGUGGCUCAAGGAUAUACUCAAGUUGAAGGAAUUGACUUCGAUGAAACAUUUGCUCCUGUUGCUAGGCUUGAAGCUAUUCGCAUAUUGCUAGCCUAUGCUAAUCAUCACAACAUCUUGCUAUAUCAAAUGGAUGUAAACAGUGCAUUUCUCAAUGGCAAGAUUGAAGAAGAAGUGUAUGUUGCACAACCACCUGGCUUUGAGGAUCCAAAACAUCCUGAUAUGGUGUACAAACUGAACAAAGCACUGUAUGGCCUCAAACAAGCUCCUCGUGCCUGGUAUGAUACAAUCAAAGACUUCCUGAAGAGCAAAGGCUUCAAACCUGGAUCCCUCGAUCCCACUCUCUUCACGAAGACAUAUGAUGGUGAACUGUUUGUGUGCCAAAUAUGUUGAUGACAUAAUCUUCGGCUGCACCAACCAGAAGUACAGUGAUGAGUUUGGGCAUAUGAUGCAAGAGCAAUAUCAGAUGUCCAUGAUGGAUGAGCUGAAGUUCUUCCUUGGUCUUCAAAUCCGUCAACAAAGAAAUGGCAUCUUCAUAUCUCAAGAAAAAUAUCUCAAAGAUUGCCUGAAGAAGUUCGGCAUGCAAGAUUGCAAAGGUUACACGACGCCAAUGCCAGCCAAACAUCAUCUUGGUCCCGACGACAAUGGUAAAGAGUUCGAUCAAAAGGUAUACCGCUCCAUGAUUGGUUCUUUACUUUACCUAUGUGCAUCUAGGCCAGAUAUUAUGCUUAGUGUUUGCAUGUGUGCUCGAUUCCAAGCGGCACCAAAGGAAUCGCAUCACCUAGCAGUGAAGCGAAUUCUUAGAUAUUUGGCUUACACCCCAACACUCAGAUUAUGGUAUCCAAAGGGCUCAAGGUUUGAUCUGGUUGGAUUCUCGGAUGCUGAUUAUGCCGGUGACAAGGUGGAUCGCAAGUCAACAUCAGGCACAUGUCAUUUUCUUGGUCGAUCACUUGUCUGUUGGUCUUCAAAGAAGCAGAACUGUGUAUCACUCUCAACUGCUGAACCUGAAUACAUUGCUGCUGGAUCCUGUUGUGCUCAGCUUCUGUGGAUGAAGCAAACUCUCAAGGACUAUGGCAUCGAUCUGAAGCAAGUCCCUCUCUUCUGCGACAACGAAAGUGCCAUCAAAGUUGCCAACAAUCCAGUCCAGCACUCGAAGACAAAUCACAUUGAAAUUCGUCAUCACUUUCUCAGAGAUCAUGUUAUGAAGAAGGAUAUAGAUAUCAAGCACGUCAACACUGAAGAGCAACUGGCAGAUAUUUUCACAAAGCCCUUGGACGAGAAAAGGUUUUGCAAGUUACAGUGUGAGCUAAAUAUUUUGGAAUCCUCUAAUGUCCUGUGAUCAGGCACACAUCCUAACACUUAUGCAUGUUGAUGACUUAGAUGUGCAACACACAAAGUAAUGUAUAUCUUCAAUCAAUGAAGAUUUACACUCUGAGUGUGAAUACAUUAACAUGGAAUUUGACUUCGGAGCGCCACGAUAAUUGUGCGCCGUGUCUGGGUCUAAUACUUCCUAUACGGUGGGUAACGCCACCACCAAAUUUCUCUGUUUGAAGUGUUUCACUCAUGGCGUUAUUUUGCAAAGAUUUCGCAUUUGGUUUGUCUUCAGUUUCAAUUUAUCUUCGUGAUUUUUUUCUGCGCUAUAGUGAUUUGAUUGCAUAUAUAUAUAUAUAUAUAUAUAUAUAUAUAUAUAUAUAUAUAUAUAUAUACUAGCGUUCUGCCCUCUACAGCAUUCACUUAUAGCUAUGUCUUCACUGUUGAAUCUUUUGAACUAAGUGAAUGUGAUCGGACCCUAAUCUCUCUAUGCUUACUAUCUCAAACUCUAUCUGUCCAAAUCAUAUGCAUUCUAUUGAAACUGUCGAAUGUCUUCUCUGCAUCCUUGUCAGCAGAAGACACAGAGACAAAACAUCAAGUCCUAUUUAAAUGAAUCAUCUUAAUUGUCGAUAUCCGGAGAAGCCGGAAUGAACAUCCGACAUACUUGGCGGGCGUGGGAACGUGGGACAAUUCUAAAUGUGUUGCAUGCUUGCCAUGUACCCCACGGAUGUGAACAGACAGGGGCACCUGCGUAAUUGCGCUGUGCUGCACACCUACUUAUAAAUAUGUGUCCCCUACGGUAAAGAAAUCCUUCUUCCACCUCUCCACCUCCGUCAAAACCCUAGCGCCACCGCUAGCUCCCGACGACGCCAGCGACGAAGCACUUAGCUGCCGCAACUUCUCCGAUGCCGUCCUCACGCCGGCCGCGGACAUCGUCCUCUCCGCCGUCGCCGUACGUGUCCUCCGUCGCCAAGUUAGGGCACGGUGGGCUGAACUGCUCGGUCUCUCAUUCUUCCCAUCUAGCAGUUCGUCGUGCGGUAAUUAUAACUCUAUUUUUACCACCUUUUUGAUCUUCAUAGAUUCAUCCUACUUAUCGAAAGUGGUUUCUGCCUAUCCAAUGUUGAAUCGAUUCUGUCUGCAUCUCUUAAUGCCUAGCAUAUUCACUUAGAUUUACUAUCUAGUUUGAUUCCUCACUUGUACUUAUUCACGGAUUGGUACAAAUCUGGAACCAACUCACCACAUAUAAGUGAAUGUCUUCGCAUCAUGAGGUCAAUGUCUUCCAACUGAUUUAUCUUCAUAAUCUUCUGAGAAUGCAUAUGACCUCUUCCCCUUCCCUCGCAUCUCUAAUGCUGUCACAGGUACAUGUCCGUGGGAGAAUCCCUUGGUUCUCAUAGUCUGUAUUCGUUUGCAGAAUACUUACAGCAUCAUAUCAAUUCUCCUGAAGCCAGUUCCUGCUUGACCAGCAAGCGUAAAUCUGUGAAGCCUCUGAACGUAUUGAAGCCAUUCAGCUUGAAGUUCAUGGCUGCAGAAAAAUCAGCAAGGAAGGAUGGCAGACAGCAUCGUGGGGGAACUUCUAGGGAUCUGCCUGAUGAUCUUGUAGAUAUAUACAAAACAGAUCCUGAAGAAGAUUACAAUCAACGCAAGACUCGAAUCCAAUGGAUUCGUCGCUAUUGGGCUGAACAGUGGUACAAGUACAAGUUCGUCACCCAGGAGUACGCAGAGAAGUAUGCUAUCAAGAGCUCUUGGGGUGAUAUUCUCUAUCGAGGCCUUCCCCCCAAGAACAGAGCUGAAGCCAUUGAGCAAAAAUUCUAUCCAUGCAUGGUCCGUGGACCACAGCCUGAAGAAGCCGACCCAUCAUCAUUACUCUGGUGUCGCGACGACAAUCUCUUCAAGCGCAACUUCCAGUUUGCUGUGGCUUCGGCAAAGGAAAACAAGAAGUCAUGGGGGUUGGACUUCAAUCCUGGUCCCUCUGCUCCCCGUGAGGAUGGGACUCGUGAAGCUGAAGAGAAUAGAAUUGGCCCCUUUGCAAACCUUGAUGGUCUCAUCUCCUACGUCUUGGUUCAUGGUGCCAAAGUGGAUCAUCCCAACAAUGAUUCUGAUUCAGAUGAAGCCCCUGCUCCUACUCCAAGGCCGAAGAAGCCAAAGAAGGUUAAGGUUUCAUCAUCAGCCGCACCUCCAAAAGCUUCUCGUCUGAAGCCAUUGGCCACUGCACCUCUUGAAGCCAGUGUGCAGUCUGAAGAUCAAUCUCGUAUCUCCAAGAAGACGGAGAAGAAAAGACAACUUCUCAGGCAUACUAAUCAAGCUCUGACUCCUGCUGCUAUUCUGCGUGAAGAACCCAUUGAUCUAUCAAGUGAUGAAGAUCUUGCGGAUGAUGCUCUUGAGCAGCUGAUAAAGAGCAACGAAGAAGCAGAAAUCUUCAGCAAUUUGCCUCUCUUUGAUGUGGCCAUCAUCCACAAUUUCAUUGAUGAGUGGUUCGACACCCCAAAUGUCAGCUUUGAAGAUUUACAGCUUCCAAUUGGCCUCAGCGUCUCUUUCAAUGGCGCCAUUGCUUCUGAUCUGGCUCUCGCUCAGUGAAUCGUUGAGCUCAAGCACAAGAUUGAUUAUGAGAAGGCUCAAUUCAAGAAGCAUGUGGCUAAGCUCAGUGUUCAAGACGUCCGAAACUUUAAGGUCAUGCUGCAUGAGCUUAAAGAAGCUUUCCUGAAGAAGCGCCAAGAAGCUCAAGGCUCUCGUGAGCGCAUGAAGAGUUUGGCUGAUAAGUGUUUGCUUGCCUACAAUGAGGCUGAGAAGCGCAAGUCACUUGGCCGUCCUGGCAUUGACCCCAGGAUGGCAGCAAAGAAAAAGAAGUAGCUUCCUGCUGAUCAGCCUGCGCCUUCAAGCCAAGAAGCUCCACAUAUUAUCUUCCCAAGUAGCAUGACUGGCUCGAAGCCAAAGGUCACCACAACCGCUUCUGAACAGAAGAAAAUGAGGGCUGCAGAGGCAGAAGCCAGAAAGAGGAAGAAUACCGAAGCCUCUGAUGCCGCUCCCUCCAAGAAGAACCGCAAGAUCAAGAAGAAUCAGGCUGCUCCCACAAAGCCCCUUUUUGUUGAACCCAUCUCAAUGAUUCAUCCUGCAUCUGCAUCCCAAGAACUUCACCUGACUGUUCAUGAGCCUGCUUCCACAGAGGCUCCUGAAGCUGAAGAUAUUCCAGCAGCUGAACCCACCGCUGCUGAAGACAUUGGUCAUCAUGACAAUGUUGAAGAUGAUGAAGUUCUUCCUCAGCUCGAAUACAAUGUGGUAUCAUUGCCUGUUCGUACGAACAGCGAACUCAUCAGCAUUGGUCGUCCUCUGACGCCAAUUGCACAGGAUGAUUCAUGGGCUGAUCGCCCGCAAGCACAAGACUCCCCCAACACUCCCCACCAACAACAACAAGUCACAACAUCCGUACUAGCUGAAGAGGAUGAGGGCCUACCCACUCCAUCUCCAAAAGCGUCGCCAGUACUUCAAAGGCUUCGCAAAGGACCAAGGCCUCAAGCUCCUCUUCCGAGCGUUCCAGAAGGAGAAGUGCAUCAUCAACCUGUUGCACGUCAAGUGUUUUCUGAAGCCACUCCUGCUAUGAAUGUCUCUGCGUCUGAAGCACCUGCUGCUGAAGACAAUCCGGCUGCAUCAGCCAAUGAAGAGCAUCAAGAAGCACGUGUCUCUACUCCCCCCAGUCAAGAAGAAGAAGUUCAUGAUUUGAACGUGUCUGUGUCUGACCCUCCAGCUCCUUAAGUGGAGGUUGAAAAUGUUGAAGCUGCCACCACCAACGACAAUGAAGCCAAUGACAUUGUCUUGGCUGAAGCUAAUGUGGAGCUUGCACCAACCAGUGUGCCUGAAGCUAAUGCGGCCACUGUACCUGAAGCUGGUGAGGCAACUGCUCCAGAAGCACCUGUUAUACAACCUGAAGCCUCAGCUGCUGCCACUGCCUGUUCCAGCCCCAAGGCCCUACACAAUUGAGCAAGCAUAUAACCAUGGUGAACUAACAACAGUCAGAUGACCCGUUCUGGUCUCUCCGCCUAAUGUCUCUGGUCCUCAAUUUGACUAUCAUGUUGAGCAUAGGCCUCAAGUCCAGAAGCCCAAGCCAAGACUGCCAAGGUUUCCAGGUACUGCAAACUCAUCAGGGUCCUUCAAUGCUAAUGGUUUCAAGAGCCACAACACAUUCUUUGACAGCUCAAAGAACCCCUACACGAAGCCAAGAAUUGCAUCAGAUCGGUUCUGGAGCCAUCAGUAGCGAAGCUAUUACUCAUGUGUUCUGUAUGAUCAAGGGCGCAUCUUCCCUCAUAUGCGCCUCGACACUGAAGCCAUUACUGGACUCCCCUGCUUAGAAGAAAUACUUGACUGCUUUCGUGAUGCUGGGCUGCUCAGUUUUGUCACAGAUAAAGAACACUGAAAUGAAGAACUAUUGCUUCAAUUCUAUGCUACACUGCACAUUCGAGGCUACAACAGAGAUACAAAAACUUGGGUUCUCGAGUGGAUGACCGGAAACGUUCAUCAUGAAGCCAAAGCUAUGGAUAUCAUAGUUUACAGGCCUGUCCACUCCCGGAGAACUCUAUGAACCCGGCUUUCAACAACAUCGCAAUGCCCUGGAAAGCAUCUUUCAUAGGCCUGAACCCAAUAUGAGUCAGAUGCUGAGCAUGAUGAAGCCUUUGCCCCGUGAUGCUGAAUAUCCAACAGAGUUCUUUGUUGAAGACCUUGAGUAUCUGCCACGCACCAUAUAUCACAUCAUCAGGCGGACUCUAUGGCCUAUCAAAGGACAUUCAUCAGCGGUAAAUCUUGAAGAAGCUAUGAAGACUUUGGUCUUCUAUAUUUACAAUGGCAUCAGCUUCAAUGCACAAGAUUUCUUCAUCAGACAACUGGCUGCCUCUGGCUCUGAUCUCUUUGGUCUGAAGUUUUAUGCUCCAUGGGUCAUGCGCCUCAUAAAGCGACACUCUACUGUCAACUAUCAACCUUCUGCUCGCAAUCAUGUGAUUUUUCUACCUGAGGUUGAUAUGUCAGUUGAAGCUAUAUAUCCUGACCCUGCCAAGAAGCCUCUUUGUCUUCAGAAUGCCAAGCACCAAAGCUUCACUCAACCCAUUGAAGGUGUUCACGCAGCUACACGAAGCCACUGAAAGCACCAUUGCCCAAAGGCCUCGGAAGCGUUCUCGUGUUCUCAAUGACCGAGAACUUCUUGUGGCCCUUCAUCAGAAACAGGAUAAGCAUCAUUUCUGGCUCAAGAGACAGAUGCAAAGCAUCUUGGUGGAUGUCAAUCGCAUUCACAACCUUGCCACCAAGAAUGCCUUUGUUGCUCAUGAAACUUGCCGGUGAUCAUGGAAGAGUUUGACCCUGCUUAGUGCUGAAGCAGAUCUUCAAGACGAUGGCUUCAAUGAAAGAUUUCAGUUUGACUCCACUCCUCCACGGAAUGUUGUCUUACGAAGAACUCCAUCUCUUGAAGACUCUGAAUAUUCUUCCUCUGCGGCAACGGUAAAUGCCAGAGUGAUCAAUGAUGAAGAUGAUGCUACUUCGCCACCUCCUACUACUACUACGCGCAUCAACACUGCACCAAGUUCAUCUGCACCGCCACCCAACGACGACAACCAUGCUGCCUCACCUACUCAUCAAGAAGACGAGUAGAUGCUCUAUGUCUUCAAACCUUUUUGGUCAUUACUGACAAAAGGGGGAUAAGUGUAUGAGUUGAUAGUCUUCAAGCGGGUUCAUAUGGGCGGUUGCGUUAUAUUUUGCCUCGUGCUUACAACUCUUGCGUUUUGAAACAUUUGGUUCUCUGAGUAGUAACACUUAAACUUGAUGGUCGUCUGCUACUUAUAUGCAUUUCCACGUGCGCUGAUAACUUCCGCACUUAGAUCAUCCUGCAGACGUCCAUUUUUCAUUAUGCAUGUCAUCCUAUAUGCUACAUCAUUUCAUGCAUGAUGAAUUAUCUUCAUAAGUUGAAGUGGAUCUCCACAAGUACAACCUGCCAUGUGCAUUUGCAUUCCAAAAGCAAAAUUAUUUACAUGCACAUCUUCAGGGGGAGCCCUUGCUACUUAAGAAGAUAAAUUCCUAUCCUUUACAAUUUCACAUACUUUAUCCCUGUUGAAAACUUCAACCAGUUUGUCAUCAAUCACCAAAAUGGGGAGAUUGUAAGUGCAUCUAGUGACACCCCUAGUUGGUUUUGGAGUAUUGACGACAAAGUUGGUUGAGGGACUAAUGCGUUUGUGAGAAUUGCAGAAUAACGCAGGUAGUGUACCUCAUUGAUUCGGUUUACCUACCGGAAAUGACCCCUAAAAUGUAUGAAGACAUUAAAGACAAUGGUGGUAUGAGAAGAUAUUCAUAUUGAAGACUAUGACAUGAGAAGACAUUGUGUGAAGACUAUGGAGCACGAAGACUGUGUGGUUUCGUUGUUUCCUUUUCUUCUUUGUUGAGUCAUAGGAACCACCGUACUGUUAAGUGGGGUCCAAGUGAACUAAGUCAGAGUGACUGAAGUGAUGCUCAACCCAAAUCCUAUGUCUUCGAGCGAAGACAAUGAGAGCAAAUCUUAUCCAGAGUUGGAUGAGUCAGCUUUGCUUGUAGCCCAAGUAAAGUUGCCGUGUGUGUUUGAAAUCUGACCGUUGGAACACGUGUCAGUUCCUUAGUGACCCAGGGUCAUUUCGGACAAAUCAGGUCGGGUUGCCUAGUGGCUAUAAAUAGCCCACCCCCUACACCAUAAAUUGGUGGCUGCUCAGAGUUAAGAUACGACUUUUGUUGUUUGAGAGCAACCCACCUCGAAGCAUUUGAGAGAGAGAAAUCCUUGCGAGGACAAAGCCCAAACACCCAGAGCCAAAGAGUGUUAGGCAUCACUGAAGUCUUUCUGUCUGUGUGACCUGAAGACUUAUUACACUUGAGGACUAUGUAUCCUCCAGCCGGUUAGGCGUCUCGUUCUGAGCAUCCAAGAGUCAUUGUGGAUUGCCGGGUGAACGGAGUCUGUGAAGGUUUGGAAGUCUACCUUGAAGACUUACCAGAGUGAUUGGGCGAGGACUGGGUGUCCUUAGCUCAAGGGGAAUAAGGUGGAGACACAGUCUUCUGAGUUGAAUCUCAGCCUCCCUAACCAGACGUACAGUUGUCACAGCAACUGGAACUGGUCCAACAAAUCCUGUGUCUUCAACAAGCAACUGGUUCUAUCUCUUCCCACCUUUACUUGAGUUUGUCUUCGUGAAGUCAUUGCUUAUCGUCUUAUCUGAUUGACUUCAUUGCUUGACUACUAUUGUUGAUUGGCUUCAUACUAUCUUCCAUCCUGAUCCUACUACCUAGCUGCUAUUAAUCUUUGAACGAUAAUGCUAUUGCAUACUUGAUUAUGGCUUGCUUGUUGUAGUUUAUCUUCCGCUGCAUAUCAAUUAGGUUGCCUCUAGUGUUUGUCUUCGAAACUUCCAUGUUUUGAAGACUUUCAUAAAAAUUGCCUAUUCACCCCCCCUCUAGUCGAUAACUAGCACUUUCACUAAUCUCGAAAUAUGCCAACCCAACAAGUACCAUUGGAGACACCUGUAGAGCACCUUUAUAAUCACCUAGUUACGUUGUGACGUUUAGUAGCACACAAAGUGUUCCUCCGGUAAAUGGAAGUUGCAUAAUCUCAUAGUCAUAGAACAUGUAUAAGUCAUGAAGAAAGCAAUAGCAACAUACUAAACGAUCAAGUGCUAAGCUAACGGAAUGGGUCAAGUCAAUAAUGUAGAGUCAAUAAUGUAGUUCACAUCGCUAUGUGAUUAACACCCAAAGAGUACUAAGGUAUGAUCAUGUUUUGCUCGUGAGAGAAGUUUAGUCAACGGGUCUGUCACAUUCAGAGCCGUAUGUAUUUUGCAAAUAUUCUAUGUCUAUAAUGCUCUGCACGGAGCUACUCUAGCUAAUUGCUCCCACUUUCAAUAUGUAUCCAGAUUGAGACUUAGAGUCAUCUGGAUUAGUGUAAAAGCUUGCAUCGAUGUAACUCUUUAUGCCGAACUCUUUUAUCACCUCCAUAAUCGAGAAACAUCUCCUUAGUCCUCACUAAGGAUAUUCUUGACCGUUGUCCAGUGAUCUACUCCUAGAUCAAAAUUGUACUCCCUUGACAAACUCAGAGCAAGGUAUACAAUAGGUCUGGUACACAGCAUAGUGAUACGUCUCCAACGUAUCUACUUUUUCAAACACUUUUUUUGACUCUAACUUGCAUGAUUUGAAUGAAACUAACCCGGACUGACACUGUUUUCAGCAGAAUUACCAUGAUGUUGUUUCGUGUGUAGAAAACAAAAGUUCUCGGAAUGUCCUGAAAAUCCUCGGAGGCACUUUUCGGAAAAUAUAAAAAAUACUGGAGAAAGAAUCAAGUCCAGGGGGCGCGCUCUCCCCCCUAGGCGCGCCCCCCAGUCUCGUGGGCCCCCUGAGGCUCCGCCGACCUCAACUCCAACUCCAUAUAUUCCGUCUCGCGGAGAAAAAAAUCAGAGAGAAAGUUUCAUCGCAUUUUACAAUACAGAGCCGUCGCCAAGCCCUAAUCUCUCUCAGGAGGUGAUGUCUACUACACAACCUUCUUCUUGUAGACGUUGUUGGGCCUGCAAGUGCACAAGUUUGUAGGACAGUAGCAAAUUUCCCUCAAGUGGAUGACCUAAGGUUUAUCAAUCCGUGGGAGGCGUAGGAUUAAGAUGGUCUCUCUCAAACAACCCUGCAACUAAAUAACAAAGAGUAUCUUGUGUCCCCAACACACCCAAUACAAUGGUAAAUUGUAUAGGUGCACUAGUUCGGGGAAGAGAUGGUGAUACAAGUGCAAUAUGGAUGGUAGAUAAAGGUAUUUGUAAUCUGAAAUUAUAAAAACAGCAAGGUAACUAAUGAUAAAAGUGAGCAUAAACGGUAUUGCAAUGGUAGGAAACAAGGCAUAGGGUUCAUACUUUCACUAGUGCAAGUUUUCUCAACAAUAAUAACAUAGAUAGAUCAUAUAACAAUCCCUCAACAUGCAACAAAGAGUCACUCCAAAGCCACUAAUAGCGGAGAACAAACGAAGAGAUUAUGGUAGGGUACGAAACCACCUCAAAGUUAUCCUUUCUGCUCGAUCUAUUCAAGAGUUCGUAGUAAAAUAACAUGAAGCUAUUCUUUCCGCUCAAGCUAUCAUAGAGUUCAUACUAGAAUAACACCUUAAGACACAAAUCAACCAAAACCCUAAUGUCACUUAGAUACUCCAUUGUCACCUCAAGUAUCCGUGGGCAUGAUUAUACGAUAUGCAUCACACAAUCUCAGAUUCAUCUAUUCAACCAACACAAAGUACUUCAAAGAGUGCCCCAAAGUUUCUACCGGAGAGUCAAGACAAGAACGUGUGCCGACCCCUAUGCAUAGGUUCAUGGGCGGAACCCGCAAGUUGGUCACCAAAACAUACAUCAAGUGGCACAUGAUAUCCCAUUGUCACCACAGAUAAGCACGGCAAGACAUACAUCAAGUGUUCUCAAAUCAUUAAAGACUCAAUCCGAUAAGAUAACUUCAAGAGGAAAACUCAAUUCAUCACAAGAGAGUAGAGGGGGAGAAACAUCAUAAGAUCCAACUAUAAUAACAAAGCUCGGGAUACAUCAAGAUCGUGCCAUAGAGGGAAUGCGAGAGAGAACACGAGAGAGAGAGAUCAAACAUAUAGCUACUAGUACAUACCCUCAUCCCCGAGGGUGAACUACUCCCUCCUCGUCAUGGAGAGCGCCGGGAUGAUGAUGAAGAUGGCCACCGGUGAGGGAUCCCCCUCCGGCAGGGUGCCGGAACGGGCUCCCUAGAGGUUUUUGGUCGCUACAGAGGCUUGCGGCGGCGGAACUCCUGAUCUAUCUUGAUAUUCGAUGUUUUUAGGAUACGUAGCCUUAUAUAGGCUAAAGAAGUCGGUCGGGGGAGCCUCGAGGGGCCCACGAGAGGGUAGGGCGCACCCAGGGGGUGGGCGCGCCCCCCUGUCACGUGGCUUCCUCGAUGACCCCCCGGCUUGCACUCCAAGUCUCCUGGAUCAUAAUCUUUCCAAAAAUCACACUGCCGAAGGUUUCAUUCCGUUUGGACUCCGUUUGAUAUUUCUUUUCUUCGAAAUACUGAAACAGGCAAUAAAACAGCAAUAUGGGCUAGGCCUCCGGUUAAUAGGUUAGUCCCAAAAGUAAUAUAAAAGUGUAUAAUAAAGCCCGUAAUCAUUCAAAACAGAUAAUAAAAUAGCAUGAAUGCUUCAUAAAUUAUAGAUACGUUGGAGACGUAUCAGCAUCCCCAAGCUUAAUUCCUGCUCGUCCUCGAGUAGGUAAAUGAUAAAAGAAAGAAUUUAUGAAGUGUGAAUGCUAGAAGGUGCACAAGUUUGAUCAAUAAUAAUUUCAAUCACCUUUUCUAGUAUGUUUAUAUGUCAUAACAGUAGUUCAUAUCAUAAAACUUUUCAUGAUCAAGUAGCAAGUUGUUCACAUAUUAAAGCAUAGGCCAUAAACUUUCUCGAAAACUAGCAAACUUCAUUCUUAGUCAUCAAACAAUUGCAAUUCAUCUUAUUUUCAGGAAGGGUCUAUGUCAGAGCUUUGAUUUAGCAAACUCCACAUACUCAAGUAUCAUAUAGUCUUCUACAAUUGCUAACACUCACGUGAUAUUAAUGGGUCCAAAGUUUUAAUCGAACAUAGAGAAAGAUAGGGGCUUAUAGUGUUGCCUCCAAACAUAUUCACCUCUGGGUGAUGUCAACAAUAAUAGUUCAUGCUAAUGUACAUCCAAUUGGAUAUAUAUAUCAGGAUCACCCUAACACAAAGUGCUUGCCAAAGGACAAAAUGAAAGGGGCUUAUAGUGGCUUAUAGUGUUGACACUCACCAAUACUAAUGGUUAUGGAGUUUCAAUUGUACACUAAGAAAGAUAGGGGCUUAUAGUGUUGCCUCCCAACGUAUUCACCUUUGGGUGAUGUCAACAAUAAUAGUUCAUGCUAACUUACAUCCAAUUGGAUAUAUAUAUAUAUAUAUAUCAGGAUCUUUCCAACACGAGGUGCUUGCCAAAGGAUAAAAUGAAAAAGGGAAAGGUGAAGAUCACCUUGACUCUUGCAUAAAGUAAAAGACAUAAAGUAAAAGAUAGGCCCUUCGAAGAGGGAAGCAGAGGUUGUCAUGCGCUUUUAGGGUUGGAUACACAAAAUCUUAAUGCGAAAGAACAUCACUUUAUAUUGCCCCUUGUAUAUGGACCUUUAUUAUGCAGUCCAUCGCUUUUAUUGCUUCCAUAACAAGAUCGUACAAAGCUUAUUUUCUCCGUACUAAUAAGUCAUGCAUAUUUAGAGAGCAAUUUUUAUUGCUUGCACCGAUGGCAACUUACUUGAAGGAUCUUACUCAAUCCAUAGGUAGAUAUGGUGGACUCUCAUGGCAAAACUGGGUUUAAGGAUAUUUGGAAGCACAAGUAGUAUCUCUACUUGGUGCUAGGAAUUUUGGCUAGCAUUAGGGGGAAAGGCAAGCUCAACAUGUUUGAAUGAUCCAUGACAAUAUACUUUAACUGAUAUGUGAGAAAACAUAACCCAUUACAUUAUCUUCCUUGUCCAACAUCAACUCUUUAGCAUGUCAAACUUAAUGAGUGCUCACAAUUAUAAAAGAUGUCCAUGAUAAUAUAUUUAUAUGUGAAAUCUCUCUUCCUUCAAUAUUCUUUCAUGAAUUGUUCAAAUGACCAAUACAAUGCUUGCUAACCGUCAAUAAAUGUACAACCUCUACUUCUUAGAUGUGAAGUCCUUACUCCCCAUGGGAUAAGCGAAUGAAACAUAUAUAAUUUCAGAUUUAUGACAUUCAAUUCAUUCAACCAUUUACUCAUAGGAUAUAAGUGAAGCACACGAGUAAAUGACAAACUACUCCAACAAGAUAUAAGUGAAGAUCAAUGAGUAGCUAAAUAAUUGUGUAACUAUGUGAAGACUCUCUCCCAUUAAAAGAAUUUCAGAUCUUGGUAUUGUAUUCAAACAACAAGCAAAGCAAAACAAAAUAACAUUACAAGGAUAGAACAACUCAUGUGAAGAAGCAAAAACUUAGGUUCAACCGAUACUAACCGUUAAUUGUUGAAGAAGAAAGGUGGGGUGCCUACCGGGGCAUCCCCAAGCUUAGAUGCUUGAGACUUCUUGAAAUAUUAUCUUGGGGUGCCUUGUGUUGGAGAAUGUUGCAUAAAAUAAAAAAAUUCCUACGUUCACCAAGAUCAAUCUAUGAGUUCAUCUAGCAACGAGAGAGAGGAGUGCAUCUACAUACCCUUGUAGAUCGCGAGCGGAAGCGUUCAAGAGAACGGGGUUGAGGGAGUCGUACUCGUCGUGAUCCAAAUCACCGGAGAUCCUAGCGCCGAACGGACGGCACCUCCACGUUCAACACACGUACAGUCAGCAUGACGUCUCCUCCUUCUUGAUCCAGCAAGGGGGAAGGAUAGGUUGAUGAAGAUCCAGUAGCACGACGGCGUGGUGGUGGAUGCAGCAGGGUUCCGGCAGGGCUUCGCCAAGCAACUACGGAAGGGAGAGGUGUAGCAGGGAGGGGAGGGAGGCGCCAGGGUGUUGGGUGCAGCUGACCUCCCACCCUCCCUCUUUAUAUAGGGACCCCAGAGGGGCGUCCCUAGAGAUGGGAUCUCUAGGGGGGACGGCGGCCAAGGGGGUGGAGUGCCCCCCAAGGCAAGUGGAGGCGCCCCCUCCCCUAGGGUUCCCAACCCUAGGCGCAGAGGGGGGCCCAGGGGGGGGGCGCACCAGCCCACUAGGGGCUGGUUACUCUCCCACUUCAGCCCAUGGGGCCCUCCGGGAUAGGUGGCCCCACCCGGUGGACCCCCGGGACCCUUCCGGUGGUCCCGGUACAAUACCGGUGGACCCCGAAACUUUCCCGAUGGCCGAAACUCGACUUCCCAUAUAUAAUUAUUUACCUCCGGACCAUUCCGGAAGUCCUCGUGACGUCCGGGAUCUCAUCCGGGACUCCGAACAACUUUCAGUUUGCUGCAUACUCAUAUUCAUACAACCCUAGCGUCACCGAACCUUAAGUGUGUAGACCCUACGGGUUCGGGAGACAUGUAAACAUGACCGAGACGGCUCUCCAGUCAAUAACCAACAGCGGGAUCUGGAUACCCAUGUUGGCUCCCACAUGCUCCUCGAUGAUCUCAUCGGAUGAACCAUGAUGUCGAGGAUUUAAGCAACCCCGUAUACAAUUCCCUUUGUCAAUCGGUAUGUUACUUGCCCGAGAUUCGAUCGUCGGUAUCCCAAUACCUCAUUCAAUCUCGUUACCGGCAAGUCACUUUACUCGUACCGUAAUGCAUGAUCCCGUGACCAGACACUUGGUCACUUUGAGCUCAUUAUGAUGAUGCACUACUGAGUGGGCCCAGUGAUACCUCUUCGUCAUACGGAGGGACAAAUCCUAGUCUUGAUCCGUGUCAACCCAACAGACACUUUGGGAGAUACCUGUAGUGCACCUUUAUAGUCACCCAGUUACGUUGUGACGUUUGGUACACCCAAAGCACUCCUACAGUAUCCGGGAGUUACACAAUCUCAUGGUCUAAGGAAAAGAUACUUGACAUUGGAAAAGCUCUAGCAAACGAACUACACGAUCUUUGUGCUAUGCUUAGGAUUGGGUCUUGUCCAUCACAUCAUUCUCCUAAUGAUGUGAUCCCGUUAUCAAUGACAUCCAAUGUCCAUAGUCGGGAAACCAUGACUAUCUGUUGAUCAACGAGCUAGUCCACUAGAGGCUCACUAGGGACAUGUUGUGGUCUAAGUAUUCACACGUGUAUUACGAUUUCCGGAUAAUACAAUUAUAGCAUGAAUAAAAGACAAUUAGGAAAUAUAAUAAUAAUCCUUUUAAUAUUGCCUCUAGGGCAUAUUUCCAACAGUCUCCCACUUGCACUAGAGUCAAUAAUCUAGUUAAUUAUGAUGAAUCGAACACCCAUAGAGUUCUGGUGUUGAUCAUGUUUUGCUCGCGGAAGAGGUUUAGUCAACGGAUCUGCGACAUUCAGAUCCAUAUGUACUUUGCAAAUAUCUAUGUCUCCAUCUUGAACAUUUUCACGGAUGGAGUUGAAACGACGCUUGAUGUGCCUGGUCUUCUUGUGAAACCUGGGCUCCUUGGCAAGGGUAAUAGCUCUAGUGUUGUCACAGAAGAGAGUGAUUGGCCCCGACGCAUUGGGUAUGACUCCUAGGUCGGUGAUGAACUCCUUCAUCCAUAUUGCUUCAUGCGCUGCCUCCGAGGCUGCCAUGUACUCCACUUCACAUGUAGAUCCCGCCACGACGCUCUGCUUGCGACUGCACCAGCUUACUGCUCCAUGAUUCAACAUAUACAUGUAUCCUGUUUGUGACUUAGAGUCAUCCAGAUCUGUGUCGAAGCUAGCAUCAACGUAACCCUUUACGACAAGCUCUUCAUCACCUCCAUAAACGAGAAACAUGUCCUUUGUCCUUUUUAGGUACUUCAGGAUAUUCUUGACCGCUGUCCAGUGUUCCUUGCCGGGAUUACUUUGGUACCUUCCUACCAAACUUACGGCAAGGUUUACAUCAGGUCUGGUACACAGCAUGGCAUACAUAAUAGAUCCUAUGGCCGAGGCAUAGGGGAUGACACUCAUCUCUUCUUUAUCUUUUGCCAUGGUCGGGCAUUGAGCCGAACUCAAUCUCACACCUUGCAAUACAGGCAAGAACCCUUUCUUGGACUGAUCCAUUUUGAACUUCUUCAAAAUCUUAUCAAGGUAUGUGCUUUGUGAAAGACCUAUGAGGCGUCUCGAUCUAUACCUAUAGAUCUUGAUGCCUAAUAUGUAAGCAACUUCUCCAAGGUCCUUCAUUGAAAAACACUUAUUGAAGUAGGACUUAAUGUUGUCCAAAAGUUCUAUAUCAUUUCCCAUCAAAAGUAUGUCAUCUACAUAUAAUAUGAGAAAUGCUACAGAGAUCCCACUCACUUUCUUGUAAACGCAGGCUUCUCCAUAAGUCUGCAUAAACCCAAACGCUUUGAUCAUCUCAUCAAAGCAAAUGUUCCAACUCCGAGAUGCUUGCACCAGCCCAUAAAUGGAUCGCUGGAGCUUGCACACCUUGUUAGCAUUCUUAGGAUCGACAAAACCUUCUGGCUGCAUCAUAUACAGUUCUUCCUCAAGACAGCCAUUAAGGAAUGCCGUUUUGACGUCCAUCUGCCAUAUCUCAUAAUCAUAGUAUGCGGCAAUUGCUAACAUGAUUCGGACAGACUUCAGCUUCGCUACGGGAGAGAAAGUCUCAUCAUAGUCAACACCUUGAACUUGCCGAUAACCCUUAGCGACAAGUCGAGCUUUAUAGAUGGUAAUAUUACCAUCCGCGUCCGUCUUCUUCUUAAAGAUCCAUUUGUUUUCUAUCGCUCGCCGAUCAUCGGGCAAGUCUGUCAAAGUCCAUACUUUGUUUUCAUACAUGGAUUCUAUCUCGGAUUGUAUGGCUUCAAGCCAUUUGUUGGAAUCUGGGACCGCCAUCGCUUCUUCAUAGUUCGAAGGUUCAUCGUUGUCUAACAACAUGAUUUCCAGAACAGGGUUGCCAUACCACUCUGGUGUGGAACAUGUCCUUGUGGACCUACGAAGUUCAGUAGCAACUUGAUCCGAAGUACCUUGAUCAUCAUCAUUAAUUUCCUCUCCAGUCGGUGUAGGCACCACAAGAACAUUUUCCUGAGCUGCACUACUUUCCGGUUCAAGAGGUAGUACUUCAUCGAGUUCUACUUUCCUCCCACUUACUCCUUUCGAGAGAAACUCUUUUUCCAGAAAGGAUCCGUUCUUGGCAACUAAAAUCUUGCCUUCGGAUCUAAGGUAGAAGGUAUACCCAAUGGUUUCCUUAGGGUAUCCUAUGAAGACGCAUUUUUCCGACUUGGGUUCGAGCUUUUCAGGUUGAAGUUUCUUGACAUAAGCAUCGCACCCCCAAACUUUUAGAAACGAGAGCUUAGGUUUCUUCCCAAACCAUAAUUCAUACGGUGUCGUCUCAACGGAUUUAGAUGGUGCCCUAUUUAAAGUGAAUGUAGCUGUCUCUAGAGCGUAUCCCCAAAAUGAAAGCAGUAAAUCGGUAAGAGACAUCAUAGAUCGCACCAUAUCCAAUAGAGUGCGAUUACGAUGUUCGGACACACCAUUACGCUGAGGUGUUCUAGGCGACGUGAGUUGUGAAACGAUUCCACAUUUUCUUAAGUGCGUACCAAAUUCAUGACUUAAAUAUUCUCCUCCACGAUCUGAUCGUAAGAACUUUAAUUUUUGAUCACGUUGAUUCUCUACUUCAUUCUGAAAUUCCUUGAACUUUUCAAAGGUCUCAGACUUGUGUUUCAUCAAGUAGACAUACACAUAUCUACUUAAGUCAUCAGUGAGAGUGAGAACAUAACGAUAUCCUCCGCGAGCCUCAACGCUUAUUGGACCACACAUAUCAGUAUGUAUGAUUUCCAAUAAGUUGGUUGCUCGCUCCAUUGUUCCGGAGAACGGAGUCUUGGUCAUUUUGCCCAUGAGACAUGGUUCGCAUGUGUCAAAUGAUUCAUAAUCGAGAGACUCUAAAAGCCCAUCAGCAUGGAGCUUCUUCAUGCGCUUGACACCAAUGUGACCAAGGCGGCAGUGCCACAAGUAUGUGGGACUAUCGUUAUCAACUUUACAUCUUUUGGUAUUCACACUAUGAAUAUGUGUAACAUUACGUUCGAGAUUCAUUAAGAAUAAACCAUUGACCAUUGGGGCAUGACCAUAAAACAUAUCUCUCAUAUAAAUAGAACCACCAUUAUUCUCGGAUUUAAAUGAGUAGCCAUCUCGCAUUAAACGAGAUCCAGAUACAAUGUUCAUGCUCAAACUUGGCACUAAAUAACAAUUAUUGAGGUUUAAAAUAAUCCCGUAGGUAAAUGUAGAGGUAGCGUGCCGACGACGAUCACAUCGACCUUGGAACCAUUCCCGACGCGCAUCAUCACCUCGUCCUUCGCCAGUCUCCGCUUAUUCCGCAACUCUUGCUGUGAGUUACAAAUAUGAGCAACGGCACCGGUAUCAAAUACCCAUGAGUUACUACGAGUACUGGUAAGGUACACAUCAAUUACAUGUAUAUCAAAUAUACCUUUAGUGUUGCCGGCCUUCUUGUCCGCUAAGUAUUUGGGGCAGUUCCGCUUCCAAUGACCCUUCCCUUUGCAAUAAAAGCACUCAGUCUCAGGCUUGGGUCCGUUCUUUGACUUCUUCCCGGCAACUGGCUUACCGGGCGCGGCAACAUCUUUGCCAUCCUUCUUGAAGUUCUUAUUACCCUUGCCCUUCUUGAACUUGGUGGUUUUAUUGACCAUCAACACUUGAUGUUCUUUCUUGAUUUCUACCUCUGCUGACUUCAGCAUUGAAAAUACUUUAGGAAUAGUUUUCACCAUCCCCUGCAUAUUGUAGUUCAUCACAAAGAUCUUGUAGCUCAGUGGGAGCGACUGAAGGAUUCUGUCAAUGACCGCCUCGUCCGGGAGGUUAAUGUCCAGCUGGGAUAGGCGGUUGUGCAACCCAGACAUUUUGAGUAUGUGCUCACUGACAGAACUGUUUUCCUCCAUCUUACAACUAUAGAACUUGUCGGAGACCUCAUAUCUCUCGACCCAGGCAUGAGCUUGGAAAACCAUUUUCAGCUCCUCGAACAUCUCAUAUGCUCCGUGUUGCUCAAAACGCUUUUGGAGCCCCGGUUCUAAGCUGUAAAGCAUGCCGCACUGAACGAGGGAGUAAUCAUCAGCACGUGACUGCCGAGCGUUCAUAACGUCUUGGUUCUCUAGGAUGGGUGCUUCACCUAGCGGUCCUUCUAGGACAUAUGCUUUCUUGGCAGCUAUGAGGAUGAUCCUCAGGUUCCGGACCCAGUCCGUAUAGUUGCUGCCAUCAUCUUUCAGCUUGGUUUUCUCUAGGAACGCGUUGAAGUUCAUGUUGACAUGAGCGUUGGCCAUUUGAUCUACAAGACAUAUUUUGCAAAGAUUUUAGACUAAGUUCAUGAUAAUUAAGUUCAUCUAAUCAAAUUGUUUAAUGAACUCCCACUCAGAUUUGACAUCCCUAUACUCAUCUAAGUGUUACAUGAUCCGAGUCGACUAGGCCGUGUCCGAUCAUCACGUGAGACGGACUAGUCAUCAUCGGUGAACAUCUCCAUGUUGAUCGUAUCUUCCAUACGACUCAUGUUCGACCUUUCGGUCUCUGUGUUCCGAGGCCAUGUAUGUACAUGCUAGGCUCGUCAAGUUAACCCUAAGUGUUUUUGCAUGUGUAAAACUGUCUUACACCCGUUGUAUGUGAACGUAAGGAUCUAUCACACCCGAUCAUCACGUGGUGCUUCGAAAUGACGAACUUUAGCAACGACACACAGUUAGGGGGAACACUUUCUUGAAAUUAUUAUAAGGGAUCAUCUUAUUUACUACCGUCGUUCUAAGUAAACAAGAUGCAUAAACAUAAUAAACAUCACAUGCAAUUAUAUAGUAGUGACAUGAUAUGGCCAAUAUCAUAUAGCUCCUUUGAUCUCCAUCUUCAGGGCUCCAUGAUCAUCUUCAUCACCGGCAUGACACCAUGAUCUCGAUCAUCAUGAUCUCCAUCAUCGUGUCUCCAUGAAGUUGCUCGCCAACUAUUACUUCUACUACUAUGGCUAACGGUUUAGCAAUAAAGUAAAGUAAUUACAUGACGCUAAAUCAUUGACACACAGGUCAUACAAUAAUUAAGACAACUCCUAUGGCUCCUGCCGGUUGUCAUACUCAUCGACAUGCAAGUCGUGAUUCCUAUUACAAGAACAUGAUCUCAUACAUCACAAUAUAUCAUUCAUCAUUCAUCACAACUUUUGGCCAUAUCACAUCACAAAGCAAUUGCUGCAAAAACAAGUUAGACGUCCUCUAAUUGUUGUUUGCAUCUUUUACGCGGCUGCAAUAGGGUUCUAGCAAGAACGUUUUCUUACCUAUGAAUAACCUUAACGUGAUUUGUCAACUUCUAUUUACCCUUCAUAAGGACCCUUUUCAUCAAAUCCGCUCCAACUAAAGUGGGAGAGACAGACACCUGCUAGCCACCUUAUGCAACUAGUGCAUGUCAGUCGGUGGAACCUGUCUCAUGUAAGCGUACGUGUAAGGUCGGUCCGAGCCACUUCAUCCCACAAUACCGCUGAAGCAAAAUAAGACUAGUAGUGGCAAGAAAGUUGACAACAUCUACGCCCACAACAGAUUUGUGUUCUACUCGUGCAAUAGAGAACUACGCAUAGACCUAGCUCAUGAUGCCACUGUUGGAGAACGUUGCAUAAAAUAAAAAAAUUUCCUACGUUCACCAAGAUCAAUCUAUGAGUUCAUCUAGCAAUGAGAGAGAGGAGUGCAUCUACAUACCCUUGUAGAUCGCGAGCGGAAGCAUUCAAGAGAACGGGGUUGAGGGAGUCGUACUCGUCGUGAUCCAAAUCACCGGAGAUCCUAGCGCCGAAUGGACGGCACCUACGCGUUUAACACAUGUACUGUCAGCGUGACGUCUCCUCCUUCUUGAUCCAGCAAGGGGGAAGGAGAGGUUGAUGAAGAUCCAGCAGCACGACGACGUGGUGGUGGAUGCAGCAGGGCUCCGGCAGGGCUUCGCCAAGCAACUACGGGAGGGAGAGGUGUAGCAGGGAGGGGAGGGAGGCGCCAGGGUGUUGGGUGCGGCUGCCCUCCCACCCCCCCUCUUUAUAUAGGGACCCCAGGGGGGCGCCGGCCCUAGAGAUGGGAUCUCUAGGGGGGCGGCCAAGGAGGGUGGAGUGCCCCCAAAGGCAAGUGGAGGCGCCCCCUCCCCUAGGGUUCCCAACCCUAGGCGCAGAGGGGGGCCCAGGGGGGGCGCACCAGCCCACUAGGGGCUGGUUCCCCUCCCACUUCAGCCCAUUGGGCCCUCCGGGAUAGGUGGCCCCACCCGGUGGACCCCCGGGACCCUUCUGGUGGUCCCAGUACAAUACCGGUGGACCCCGAAACUUUCCCGAUGGCCGAAACUCGACUUCCCAUAUAUAAUUAUUUACCUCCGGACCAUUCCGGAACUCCUCGUGAUGUCUGGGAUCUCAUCCGGGACUCCGAACAACUUUCGGUUUGCUGCAUACUCAUAUUCAUACAACCCUAGCGUCACCGAACCUUAAGUGUGUAGACCCUACGGGUUCGGGAGGCAUGUAGACAUGACCGAGACGGCUCUCCGGUCAAUAACCAACAGCGGGAUCUGGAUACCCAUGUUGGCUCCCACAUUCUCCUCGAUGAUCUCAUUGGAUGAACCACGAUGUCGAGGAUUUAAGCAACCCCGUAUACAAUUCCCUUUGUCAAUCGGUAUGUUACUUGCCCGAGAUUCGAUCGUCGGUAUCCCAAUACCUCGUUCAAUCUCGUUACCGGCAAGUCACUUUACUCGUACCGUGAUGCAUGAUCCCGUGACCAGACACCUGGUCACUUUGAGCUCAUUAUGAUGAUGCACUACUGAGUGGGCCCAGUGAUACCUCUCCGUCAUACGGAGUGACAAAUCCCAGUCUUGAUCCGUGUCAACCCAACAGACACUUUCAGAGAUACCUGUAGUGCACCUUUAUAGUCACCCAGUUACAUUGUGAUGUUUGGUACACCCAAAGCACUCCUACGGUAUCCGGGAGUUACACGAUCUCAUGGUCUAAGGAAAAGAUACUUGACAUUGGAAAAGCUCUAGCAAACGAACUACACGAUCUUUGUGCUAUGCUUAGGAUUGGGUCUUGUCCAUCACAUCAUUCUCCUAAUGAUGUGAUCCUGUUAUCAAUGACAUCCAAUGUCCAUAGUCAGGAAACCAUGACUAUUUGUUGAUCAACAAGCUAGUCAACUAGAGGCUCACUAGGGACAUGUUGUGGUCUAAGUAUUCACACGUGUAUUACGAUUUCCGGAUAAUACAAUUAUAGCAUCAAUAAAAGACAAUUAUCAUGAACAAGGAAAUAUAAUAAUAAUCCUUUUAUUAUUGCCUCUAGGGCAUAUUUCCAACACCUUGGGCAUCCCCAAGCUUGAGCUUUUGUGUCUCCUUAAUUCCUUUCAUAUCACGGUUUCUCUAUUUCUCAAAAGCUUCAUCCACACCAAACUCAACAAGAACUCGUGAGAUAAGUUAGUAUAAAACAAUGCAAAACCUUAUCAUUUUCUACUGUAACAAAUUACUAACAUUAUUAUUCAACAUUGUAUAUUAAAUUUUUCUGCAUAUUUAAUACUCCUAUCCUCAAAUAGAAACAUUAAACAAGCAAGCAUCUGCAAACAAUGCAAACAUAACAGCAAUCUGCCAAAACAGUAUAGUCUGUAAAGAAUGCAAGAUUCAUCAUACUUCCCUAACUCCGAAAAUUAUAAGAAAAAUACUACACUGUAAAAUAUUUAUCAGAUCUCAUUAUUCAAAAAGAUUCAACAUUAUAUCACUCACUAAAUUUUCUAGGGAAUUCUUGCAACAGCGGUAAACUUUCUAUUUCAAACAGCAACAUGUAUACUAGCAAAAUAAGCAUGGUAAAGGAUAUCCUUGACAUUUUUAUUGAAAAUUAAGAUGCAAAACAUUUUUCUAAAUAAAAUAAAGCAAAUACUAAAAAAAAAAUUACUCUCCAAGCAAAACACAUAUCACGUGGCAAAUAAAAAUAUAGCUCCAAGUAAAGUUACCGAUGAACAAAGACAAAAGAGGGG
rnacentral:lncRNA from 1 species